AAAUGCAGGUUAGAAGAAUGAGGUCACUAAAAACAUGAGCAUAACUUCUGAAAAUCAUAGAAUUAACACAAGAAACAGAGUCUACAAGUUGAUCAAAAAAUAAAUAUACAAAGAAUCGAUGAGAGAGAGAAUUGUCAUAGGUGGCUCAGUACAUGGUAAGAUGCACAGAGAUAAAACAUCUAAUCCCUAAGAAGUAACCAAUUUCAGAAUAAACAAACAAAUUCUUGGGCAUCUGCAUAGAUCAUAAGAAAUUUUAAGUCACUAACAUCUGAGACUGAAUGAAAUAAGAAUCAAUUAAACAGCGCCAAAAAAAAAAAAACACUGGCAAGCUUAGUACCAAAUAAAGAAAGCGAGCAAAAAAAAAAAGGAAUAAACUAAGUGAAACCUUCCCGAUGUCCAUUUGAUAAGGGAACUUAAAUUUAAAAUUUUAGACAAAUAUCAUCCAUCUCUCUAAAUAAAAACACUCGGAAAUAGCAUACUUGAGGAAAGAAUCCAAAAAGUAGAAGCGUAUGGGGAGAAAAAGGAAAACAUCCCAAAUCCAAAUAGGUUUUGAUUUUAACAUUUGUCCAAAGCCUGAGUCACUAACUAUAAAUUUCAUAUCUUAACCAAUUUAACUACAAACUGAUAAAAAUAAAUUGAAUGGCAUGCACUGUCAAUUCAAUUUAAGGCUGUAAACAUCAAAUUUCGCAGCAAUGCCAAACACAAAACGCAGCAGCUCGCUCAGUGUAAUGCCCCCUGGUGACGAUCGUAUCAAACAACUCUCCUCCCUCACAUAACUCCAUCACAAUGUGCACAACACUAUCAUCUUCAUUAGUGUCCUUUAAUGACAUAUUAUUCUGAUUCUUAGGUAAAUGCUUCACCGAUGAAGCUCCAGUGAAGGAUUCAUCAAUGGAGUCAGGAGGCUGCAGCCUAGAUUUAUAUGGCAAAGAUGAACAAGUUCAGGGUGCAGGCAGCAAAGACGUAGUGCGGGGAUGGUGUUCUGCGGGCAUCUACAGUAAAACUCCGAUGAUGGAUUGUCGACGGAAUUAAGAAGCGGCAGCGAGCUGACUGAGGAGAUCGAAAUACGCAUCUGGAAAGUAAAAUAAAUUGAACAAAGCUUGAAAAUUUGAACAAACACCCAGAAAUUUGAACAAUUUUUACAAAACAAGAAUCAUCAAAACCUAACUCUAGCAAAGCUUGAAAAUUAAAAACCAAUACAAACAAGAACAUCGAAAUCACACAAGCUAACCUUAAAUAGCGCGAACAAAUCAAAGCUUGAAAUUAUGAAAACACAAUCGAAAUCACGGCAUAAUGGAUUCACAUAAACGACAAGAAACAACAUGCAAACAAGAAAAUUGUUAUAUUUUUUUUAUCACACAAGUGUGAAAUUGUAACACCCUAGCCGAAUCCCACAUCGGCAAAGCACGGAAGAGAUGCUGGGUUUAUAAGAGGUGAUCCACACUUUAAUUGGAAAGACACGUUUUGGAGUGUAUGGGCGCCCCAAGAACAAAUCCGUGCGGGCCUUGUUAAGGCCCAAAACGGACAAUAUCUUGCCAGGUCUGGGUUGGGUCAUGACAGAAAUUAAAUUAUCUUAACGUCCAAAUUACACUUUAAUACUGUAAUUUUUAAACUACAACGACCUAAAUAUAUACGAAAUUCAAGUGUUUGUAGAAAUAAAAUUAUCAUGUUGGUUUUUGAGUAAUUGUUGAUUUUGAAUAAUCAAACCGAACCAUAUCUUCUACUAGGGCCUAUGGGGGCCUUUGGAAAGUUGAACAGAAACCGUAGAUGUCCCUACUCCCCGACUUCACAAAAGCUUCCAGAAAAAUUAAAAAAGAUGCCACUACCAUUAUUGACCAAAGAGAUGUGUGAACACUCAAUGAAUCAAAAACAAACAUAUUGUAAAAUGGAGGAACCCACACAGAAAACAUCUUGUUAAUUCUAACCACUUUAGUCUUCAGAUAUAGGAUAAAAUAUAGACAUAGAAUAAGAGCAUGGUACCCCAAGAGAGGGGUCCGCCUACCUUGCAAUAGUUGCAUGGUACCCUAAACUUUGUCAUUUUCUGAUUCAGCCAAUAAAUCUAAUGCCUAAAGUGUUCAACGAGAUGUGUUCAAUUGGUUAUUAACACUUAAAUUCUUACUAUUUAUUACAAAAUCAUAGAAGCUAAAAGUUUUUAAAUAUUUACUUUUUCAACUCCUGCUGUUUUAAAUUUUUUAAAGUUUGAUCCAUUGACCUAAUUUGAUCAUAAAAAUAAUUGAUGGUGUAAAGAUAAUAAUGCAAUAUCACAUAAAAAAUUUUUAAACACAUGAAAAUUUAUAAAUGUAAAUAAUUUUUUUGUUAUAUAGUAUAUAUUUAAUACAAAAUAAAUAAACUAAAUAUUUAUUAAGAUUAUAGGUUAUUAACCAUGCAAUACUUCAAAAAAUUAUAAAAUAAAAAAGGUGAAAUUUCAAAAUAAGAAACAUGUAAAAAGUGUUAGAUGUAAAACUUUAUUAUUUUAAUAUUACAAAACUUUACUUUUUUAUUACUUUUUUUAACAUUAGUUGACAUGUUAGUUUGUUUGUACAUACAAUAUGUUAAUUUACCUAUAAACUGCUAGCCUAUAGGGCUAUAAAUAUUGAUUUUGAUGAUAACAAACCACAUGUUUUGAAUAAACAAAAAUUUAUACAUUGUGCUUUUAUAACAAGAGAAUGAUUUUAUGAAAUUAGUUGUUUUUUAAGAUAUGGACUAAAAUGAAAGAUUUUUGCCAUCUUUAAUUUCAAUAAAUAUUGUUUUAAAUUUUAGAUUUGAGUCUAUUUGAAAAUAUUUAAAUAUAUUGGGCCAUACUAUAAUUUCACAUAUUUUGGGCCAUAUCAUAAUUUUAAAAAGUUUUGGGAAUAACAAGCCAUUAUUUAGAAAUUAUGAAAUUGGACCUAUUUGAAAAGAUUCACAACUUUUUUAGGCCAUAAUGCAGUUCUAUAAAGUUUUGAGGUAAAACUAUAAUUUUAAAAAAUAAUUACUGUAGCAGUCACUGUAGCAAGUGGCUAAUCGGAUUUGACAAGCGGUAGACCAAAUUUUGGGCAGUAGCUCACUAGAAUAAAAGUGGCUAACCGGAUUCCAAAAGCGGCAUGCCGGAUGUUUUAAAAUUCAAAUAUUUGCUGUAACGGUAACAUAAAUGUGGCUAAUCGGAUUCCGAAAGCGGCAAGCCGGUUAUCAUCAGAAAACACAUAACGGCUAGUUUUUGGGCUCAAACUAUAUAAACUCAAAUCCAAUUCAUUUUCAAGAUCUCUUUGCAAGUAAAAAAAAAAAGCACAUAACAUAUAUUGAGCUCUCAUUUCGUAAAAUAAUCAUACUUUGAAUUAUAUUUGUGCUUUAAUUUGUAUAUCUACUCUUUAAGAGAGUUUUUGCUGUAAUCUUCAUUUCCUCAUCAAAUUUGUGAGUGUAUAAGUGUGAGAAAUACUUUGGUUAAGAGAUUGUGGAUCAUCUCUUGUUGUAAAGGUUCAUUGACAUCUUGAAAGUCAAUUGUAAGCAUUUGAAGCAUUGGGAGGCUUGGAUAAUGAAAUCCUCAAGCCCGGUGUGCUUAGAGGCGUGGACGUAGGCGGGAAUUGCCGAACCACAUAAAAAUGAUUGUGUUUGUUUUCUCUUCCCUUACUCUUUUAAUUAUUGUGAUUUAUUGAAUUUAUUGUUUUCAAUUCCAUUAAGGUAUUAGAUUGAAUUGUUAUGUGAUUUGCAUAGUUUAAGUUUUAAAAACUCAAUUCACCCCCCCCUCUCUUGGGUUGUAUAACUUGUAUUUCAUAAAAUACCAAUAUUAUUCUUGAAAUUUAAGGGAGCCAUUUUAAUUUUUAAAUUUUUAAAUGUAGCCCAACAAAGUCAUAGAAAGAUAAACAAAGAAUAAUAUAAAAGAAAGUUAGUUUAUUUUUUUAAAAGAAUAUUUCAAAAGCAUUUGAGUGUUAUGUUUCUUGAGAAUUAUCCUUUUUUUUUAGAUAUUUGAGCUUGUGAAUCUUGUUGUAAUGAUAAUUUAUUAUUUAUUCUUGAUUAAAAAUAAUUGAAUAGUAAAUUUAUUAGUUUCAAAUACUCUUUUAAAUGUAGGGCAGUUGCUUAAUUUUUAUUGUGUCAGCCUAAACUUUUUUAUGAUGGCUAAUCAACCAUUGCAAAAGAUUAUUCCACGAUUAUAUUUACUUUCUCUACAUCCUUCUAAACCCAAAGAGUUAAGGGUCUAUUAGGCACACUGUAUUAUAUUAUAUUGUAUUGCAUUAUUUAAUGUAGGUGUAUUGUACUAUAUUAUAUUAUGUUAACAAUAUAUUAUAAUAAUAUUGUACAACAUUUGGUAAUUGGUAGUACACUGUACUGCAUUAAUUUUAUAUUAAUAUUAAACUAACAUUAUUUAAAUUUAUUAUUAAUUAUAUUAAAUUAUUAUUUUUAUAUUAAUUAUUUAUAUAUAAAUAUAAUAUGAUAUAAUAAAAUAAUAUUAUAGUAUAAUUUAUUUUUAUAUUUGUAUUUAUUAUAAUAAAAAUAAAAUUAUAAUAAAAAUAUAUUUAAUGCUCAAUUAAGGCAAAAGGCAAAAUAAUAAUAAUAACAAUAGUAUUACUUAAAAUGAAAAAAAUCUAUAAAGAUUAAUAAUGAUGAUGAUGGUGUUGUUGGAGACAUUAAUAAUAAUAUAAUAAUUAAAAUAAUAAAAUUAAAUAAAUUUUCAUAAUAAUAAUAAUUAAUGACAAUAACAAUAAUAAAUAAUAAAUUAACAAAUUUUAAUGAUAACAAUAAUAUUAAUAGUGAUGACGUUUAUGAUAGUAAUAAAAUAUAACAAUAAUUAGAAUAAUAAAAAUAAUAAAUUUUUAUAAUAAUAAUAUUAUUAUUAUAAUAUAAUACUGGACAGUAAUAAUAAUAAAUAAUAAUUAAAAUAAUAAAUUAACAAAUUUUAAUGAUAAUAAUAAUAUUAAUAUAAUAAUAAUGACAUUAAUAAAUAAUAAUAAUAAUAAUAAUAGUUCAAAUUUUUUUCAAAAGUCAUUUUAUCUAAAAAAAAAGGAUUUAUAUAUAAAAAUCUUUAACUUUUAGUGUCUAUUUAAUUUUUCAUAAAAUAUAAAUAGUGCCGUGUAAUUAAUUAAAAAAAGACAAAACUCAGUGAUAUGUUGCAACAGUUGCAACUUGCAACAUAGUUUCUUGGGAGAGGGGAUGUUUGAAAUUGCAUUAAUAGUGAUUAUUGCAUAAUAUAAUUCUCAAAUAAUUUCCAUGUUGUAUUAAUUGAAAAAGCUCUGUGGGGUGGGGUAUUACUUUUGUUCACUCAGCAAACGCAAAUGAGAAUCUUAAGCGUAAUGAUUCCUGAAAAACGACAAAAAAACUCUGUUGGUUUAACUAUGUGGCAGAGCUUUGAUUAUCCAUCAGACACGAGUACGUUCAGCAAGCCCUUUUCUCUAUCAGAUUUUGCUUUGAUUCGAUUUUUAAAAAUAAAGCAUCAUAAGUGGCUAAAGCUACAAUGUCGGGCAUUGAGGCCCGGCAUUAGAGGUGGUAAAAAUAUCUGUUCGGUCUGGAUUCGGAUUGUACCUGGGUAUUGCUGACUGGAUAUAAAGCUGGGUCGAUCUUGAGCAUCACUUGAUAAAUUCGGAAUCUGAAUUUUAUUAAAAAAAUUAUAAAAUAUAUAUUAUUUUAAAUUCGGCCCGGACUCGGACCCGGACCGAUUGUAUCCGGGCAGGGUCCGAUCAUGCAAUACCCGGACCCGGCCCGGGAUUUUGCCAUCUCUACCCGGCAUUGUGCCGGCUUGUAAAUGCAGUCAUUGAAUUCAUGUAAAAUAAAUCAAACGGUUGACAUUGAAAAGAAAUUAAAAAAAAGGUACAAAUGAGCAACCGAAGCAACCGAUUCCCCAAGGUUGCAAAACAAAAUUUAGGUGUUUCAAUUGCGCCCGAUCUCUUGCAUCUCUCUCAAAAAUCACAAAUUUCUCUCUUCAACUUCUUGACAAAUCAAAUAAAAUCGAAGCCACAUCUCGCUCACACAAUCCAAUCCAUCAACUUGUUGUUGUCAUCUUGAGUCGUUUGCUUCCGGUCUAGUUGUUUCUGUCGCUAACAUCGUUGCCUCCUUUUUCAUUCGACGUUUUCAGCUGUACAAAGUAAGGAUGGGUGGCUUUGCUGGUCUCACGCUUGUGCCUUUAUCCUCAUGGGUACGUCCCCGUUGACUGUGGCUUAAACAUCUAGUUCUUAAAGUCUACUAUAAGUUUGCUGGUACUGUUAAGUGAUUGAAACUAUUGUUGCAGCUUCACCCAAUAUUCUGUUUAUUGCUGUAUUUCUUCUACUUUUAUCAUUCUGGUAGCUUUUCUCUUCUUGAAUGAAGCAUCUUUAAUUGGUACCUCGCUUGCUUGUACCCAAUUUGGCUCUGGCUUCUAUCGACAGCUUUCUUGCUUUUGUUGCAUUCUAUCAGGUUUGAUUUAAAUACCCACUUUUGCUUAUUUUUCAUGAUGGUAAGAGUUCAUUGUCAAGACAUGCAACAUUUGAUGCGAAAUAUGCAACAUCUCACAUAAAACAUGCAAAAUAGACGUCAAACAUGAAACGGGCAGGAAUAUUUUCUAUUUUUUAGCUUUAUUCAAGACAUACGAUGUUUGACGUGAAACAUGCAAUAACUAAUGUCAAAUAUGCAACAACUGACGUGAAACAUAUAACAUGCAAUUUACAUGUAAUUAAGUUACGUGAAACAUGUAACAACUGAGGUAAAAUAUGUAAUGACUGAGGUUAAAUAUGAGAACCACGUCAACAUGUAAUAUUUCAUGUCAAACAUGAAACGGACAAGAGUAUUUGAGAAUAUUCUCUAUUUUUGGCUUUAUUCAAGAUAUGGAAAAUCUGACAUCAAAUAUGCAACAGUUGACAUAAAACAUGCAACAUGCAACAUUUCACAUCAAACAUGCAAUAUAUCACGUAAAAACAUGCGAUGUUGACGUUAAAUAUGAAAUGGACAAGAAUAUUCAUGAAUAUUCCUUAUUUUUUAGCUUUAUCCAAGACAUGCAACAUUUGAGUCAAACAUGCAACAUCUGACGUCAAAUAUGCAACAACUGAUGUAAAACAUGCAACCUGCAACAUUUCAUGUCAAAAAUGCAACAUACCACGCAUAACAUGAAACGUUGAUGUCAAACAUGAAACAGGCAAGAAUAUUCUUGAAUAUGUAACACCCUAAGUGAAUCUCACAUUGGUAAAGCACGGGAGAAAUACUGGGUUUAUAAGGAGUGAUCCACACCUUAACUAGCAAGACGCGUUUUUAAGUGUAUGGGUGCCGCAGGAACAAAACUGUGUGGGUCUUGUUAAGGUCCAAAGUGGACAAUAUCUUACCAAGUUUGGGUUGGGUCAUGACAAAUGGUAUCAGAGUCGCUCUGUGUGUCCUCUUCAGCGAUGGUGGGGCGAGUCUCAACGAGGACACUGAGUCCAUAAAGUGGUGUAUGUAACACCUUAGGCGAAUCCCAUAUCAACAAAGCACUGGAGAGAUGCUGGGUUUAUAAGGGGUGAUCCACUCUUUAAUUUCAUGACGCAUUUUGUAUGGGCGCCGUAGGAACAAAAUCAUUUAGGUCUUGUUAAGGCCUAAAGCAGACAAUAUCUUGCCAUAUUUGGGUUGGGUCAUAACAGAAUAUUCUUCAUUUUUGGCUUCAUUCAAGACAUGCUAUAUCUAACGUCAAACAUGCAACAAUGACGUCUAAUAUGCAACAGUUAACGUAAAACAUGCAACUUGCAACUUUUCACGUUAACUAUGCAACAUACUGUCAGUAAUAUGGCCUGAAGACCAAUCAAAUGAUGUUUGCUUUUAGAGAAUUAUUGUAUUUGAAUAGCAUUUUGAUAUUUAUAAAAUGGCAAAGUUGCCAACAUUCAUAAAUUAAUUUAAUGAAUAUAUUCCAAGAAGUAAAAUAGUUAAUGAACACAUUCUCGAGUUUGUUGAAAAUACGAAACGUGUAUUCUUUGUACUAUACUUUUAAAAUAGUUCCUAGUGGUGAAUUUAUGAUUGGACGUCAUAAAUUCCUAUAAACACUAGUAUGUGUAUGACUCAUUUAUGGUAUGUGAUACUAAAAUGGAUAGUGAAUUUCAUAUCAUUGACAUGAGAUGUCAAGUCAAACACAUAGGUACUUGUUGCAAAAACGAGUUUACUGAACUUGACCAAAUAUAAUAAGUCACAUGGUUUUGAGUGUUAAUGACUUAUUAUACAUUAUGAUAGACACUAUAUUUAAUAAUGGUUUUUAGACUUGAGGCAUCACAUAUGUCUUGUACAUAGACAUCUCUGAUAUGUGAAAGCAUAAUGAUUGAUUCCUAAUCAAGGAAGAGAUCUAGCAAUAGUUGUCAUGGUUGGUUAUGUAUGGAGACAAGUGUAUGGCCAAUAUGGAAUUCAUCACUUCGUAAUAUAUAAAAAGGAUGUCCCUGAAAGAUAAUAUGAAUUGACAUGAGAAAUCCUUGGCCAAGAUGAAAUAUAUUUGAAGGAGUUCAAAUUAUAUUUUUCAUGCCAAGUUCAUUUAGAUUUAUUUUUGAGAUAAAGUAUAAAUGCUUAACACCCUAAACCAUAAGCCAUGUUUUUCUCUGGACAUAGAUGAUGAAGAGACCAGGACAUAGAGAAACAAUUAAAUAGGUUCUAUAGAUCUAGCAAUUCUUGUUAUUUGGGUGGUUGUGAAAUACUGUUAAGUGUCACUCAUGACUUGUAGAAACCUUAAGAUAAUUAUUAGUAAAGCGUAUUAGCAAUGCAUCUUAAGGUCAUUAGAAAAGUUAUAAUUGAUGACUAAAGAGUUUAGCAUCAUUUAAUGAAUAAAGAGUUAUCAUUAAAAUAAUUCUACUACCUUAUAACAAAGAACCUAAAAGGUUACACACCUAAUAGAAAUGAAAAAUGAGUUACUAGUAAAUGAGAAGUUAAAUUUCCUAAUUUUAGGAAAAUCGGUAUUUAUAUUACAAUUCAUUAAGAAUGGAUAUAUAUACCUUAAAUAUGAUUUGAGAUAGAAAUUUAGAUGUUCCAUGAAUAGUUUAAGAAACAAAAUAAAUUUCAUAAAUCCUUAAUUAAAUAUUAUGUGCAAUAUCGAGUAAGUAAAAUGACCAUAUUGGACAUGUUUUGGUUCAUAAAUGAUUAUGGACUUCUAGACCAAUUUUGGGUUUAGAGUUUUAGGCUUUUAUUGGACCUAAUAUGGAUUAGGAAAAGGCAUAAGAAUAUGUCACAAAGGAAGCCCACAAUUAACCACUUGAUUUGAUCAAAAUGGCAUUAAUUAAUUAAAUACAAAAUUAAUUAAUUUAGCUAUUUAUUUAUUCAAAAUUAAUUUGAUUAAAUAAAUUAUUAAAGUGAAAAAAAUCACAUUAAAUAAAGAAUGGUUUAGUGGAUGGGUCUAGUUCAUGAUAAUGUUUGGUGCAAUUAUUGAAAAGAUGAUGGUGCUUUAUUUGGUGGAAUGGUUGAUUAUGAACGAGCAUUCAUGUUUCUUCAUUAUCUCUCUCAUUUCCAAACGGAAUUUGGUGAUUCUAAAUCCUAUGAACUCCUAGAACAUUUCUAAGUGUGGAUUUAUUAGAGUCAUCACAAUUGGGAUGCUUUAAAGAUCUCAAAUUGUGCAAAAACAGAAGCUGCUCUUGUAGUGUAUUUCAUGUGUCAGUAUUGAGGAAGUACAUGGUUGAUCCUUCUCAUGUAUUGGAUUACCAACCUAUCCAAAUUGCGAAUGAUAUGUCAUAUGAGGAACAACCAAUGGAGAUAUUGGAUAGGAAAGAACAAGUUCUGAGGAGAAGGAUCAUACUGCAAAGGAAGCCACUUGGGAGUGAGAUGAUGAAAUAAAGGAGAAAUAUCCUCAGCUAUUUGAGGAUUACACCCACUUUUAUUUAUUUAUUUUUUUCCUCUUUUACCCUUAUUAAAUUGAGUAGGAUAGUUAUUAUUGAGUGUUUGUGUGUGAGUAAAAUUUAUCAAAUUGCUUUAAAUAAGUUACGUAAGUUAUUAGUUUUUAUAAAAAAAAAUAUUUAUUAAUUACCAAAUAUUUAAGAGGAAGCCAUUUUUUUAAGAAGCCGUCUUUUAUUUUCUACACCGUUACAAACCCUAGGAAGAAAGGAAAAAAACAUAAGUCUUUAGAGAAGGAAAAGAAAGUUUUAUCACUUCUUUUCUUAGUGUUUGCCUCAAGGUAUUAAGUAUUUCUUAGACUUAUAUGAUUUAUUUUUAUGAAUUGUCUGCCUUUAAUUACUUGUAAUAUGAUUUGGGUAAUAUAUGUGUGUUUGUAAUGUUGUGAUGAUAUGAAUAGUCCCUAUUCCUUACUUGAAAUCGUUUUCUUUAUUUAGAAUCAAGUGAAUAUGCUUACAUAUCAUGGAACUAGACAUCCUAAGCUUUCCAUUGAUAGGUUUUGUGUUGAAAUCGUCUGAGUAUGUAAAUUGUUAUGGAUUUUCGAAGUUAGGUUACUGGUGCUGGAAAAUUCCGAUUUUCAGCAGCGGUUCUCAAUUCUGGAAAUUUUUUUAUAAGGUUACACAUCCUUACAAAUUAUGGAGUUUUUUUUGUCAACAGAUCUAUGUCUCCUAUACUUGCAUGUUUAAUUUUGUAGUUUUAUUCUUUAUGAUUGAAUUAUUAAGAAUCGUAACAUAUGGCUGCUGCAAAUCUGGAAACUGUUUUCCAGAAUUGCAGAAGCUGAAACGUGUAACAGAUGGGCUAGUUUAUGAAUAUUACAUGCCAUGUUAGGAUUUUAUAAUGAAAUUUCAAUCUUUCCUCUGUCUUUAAAAACUUGAAUCGCCAUUUUUGGGCAUGUAAAAUAAAAGAUACGAAUUUUUGAAACUCUGUUUUCAAAUCUGGAAUUUUCUAGACGGGUUAGAUGUUCUCGGAAAUAAAACGUUUUAAAAUAGUUUCAGGAGUCCAAAAAUUAUGAAAUUUAAUUAUGUGCUUUCUGAAUGUGUCUUCUGUGAUUAGAAAAAAGAAACAUAUUAUUUCGAGUACUAAAGAAUAUGUUAUGAAUUUUCUAAGUGGGAAAGGUCUGUUUUGGUCAGUGCUGGACAGUUUUGUUACUUUGGUGAAAGGUCAAUAUUCUAACUCGAUUUUGACUUGUGCUGAUUUUUGUGAAAUAUUGUAUGCAAUGCUGUGCAUGUUCAUAGAGCCUCUAUAAAUUUUCAUGGUUUUCCGACAUGUGUAUAGGUUAUUAAAAAAAAUCAGCAUGUGAAAGAUACUCAUACUUAUGUCUAGAAUAUGUAUAAGUAUUGAGCUAAUAUAAGUGCCUAUGAAUUAAGGAUGAUUGGGAUUAUGUUUAAGGUUAGAGAUGAUAUUGAUAAGGAUAUUUUUAUGAUAAUUAUAGUGAAAUACAAGUGUGCAACCCAAGAGGGGGGGUGAAUUGGAAUUUUAAAAAAUUAUCCUAACAAAUCCACACAACAAGCAAUCUAAUGUCUUAAUAAUAAUUGAAAACAAUAAGUUCAAUAAUAGCACGAUAAUUAAAGAGUAAGGGAGAAGAGAAACAAACACACGAAUUUUUACGUGGUUCGGCAAUCUCCGCCUACGUCCACGCCUCCAAGCGAUCCAAGCUCGAGGAUUUCACUAUCCAAGCCUUUCCAAGGCUUCAACAAUUACAAUUGACUUUGAGGUGUCAAUAAACCUUUACAACAAAGAGAUUAUCUCCCAAUCUCUUCACUCAAGUGUCUCACACACUCAAACUCUUACAAAUAAAUUGAAGAAAUGAAAGAUACAAUGAAACUCACUCAAUGAGUAGAUAUUCAAAGAUGAAGAACAAUGAAUGAUUCAAUGAUUUGUGUUUUGCAAGUUGUAAGCUCAUUAAAAAGAAUAAAAAAAAUCAAUUUCAUAAAAUCAUUUUUCCAUUAAAUAUGAAACAUUUAUAAUGUGAAAAUAAUGAUUUAUUUAAAAAGAAUAAAAAAAAUCAAUUUCAUAAAAUCAUUUUUCCAUUAAAUAUGAAACAUUUAUAAUGUGAAAAUAAUGAUUUAUUUAAAAAGAAUAAAAAAAAUCAAUUUCAUAAAAUCAUUUUUCCAUUAAAUAUGAAACAUUUAUAAUGUGAAAAUAAUGAUUUAUUUAAAAAGAAUAAAAAAAAUCAAUUUCAUAAAAUCAUUUUUCCAUUAAAUAUGAAACAUUUAUAAUGUGAAAAUAAUGAUAAACCAUAAACUUUGAAAAACAACCAAUUUCAUAAAAUCAUUUUUCCAUUAAAUAUGAAACAUUUAUAAUAUGAAAAUAAUGAUUUAUUUAAAAAGAAUAUUAAAUAAUUUGAGCUUAAAAAAUUAAUCAUUUUUAAUCUUGUUUGUUAUCAUCAAAAUCAAUAUUAUGGAAACAUAUAUGUUAACAUAUAGGACAUGGGUGAGCUCGUUGGUUUGUUCUUGAGGUAUUGAGUUGAUUGCUGCGGAUUAAGGUAAGUAGAUUCAUGCAUGAUGUGUUUUAUAAUAAAUGUAAUUUAUGUUAUAAGAAUUAUGUUUAAAUGAACAUUUGUACAAAACUGAUUUCUAAAUAUUUAAAUGAAUUUUACAAAAUAAAAACACUUUUAAAUGAAUUUAUAUAAAUGUAUUUUAAAAUGAAUUUUUCUUAAGAAAUUAGUUUUCUCAAAGCAAAUGUUUUCUUAAAGAAUUUUCUAAAAGAAUUAAAUGUUUAAAGAAAAGUUCUUAAUUGUUUUAGAAGACUUUAAAUGCUAUUUAUGAAAAGAUGUAAGGUGGAUUCAAAAAUGUUUUAGCUCAUAGUUCGUAGUAAUGUAUACAAUGCAAAUGUUAUGAUGUUAUGAUGUUAUGAAAUGCUAUGGCCAACUUGCUAGUAUGAUGAUGAUUUUGUGCACAAGGAUGUUAUGAACAAUGUGGGAUAUAGUACCCUAAAUGAGGAAUAAUGCGGGGUAUAACACUCUAAAUGAUGAAUGAUGAAUGAUGAUAACUACGAGGCAUGAGCUACCAAUGUUUAUGGUUUAAUGUUUUUAUGAAUGCUUUAAUGUUUUUAAUGCUUUUAUAUGAAUCCACCCCUUAUGCUAAAGGAAAAUGUUCUCAUAAAAUGUUUAAAGGUAUAUGACAAAGGUUUUCAAAUAUUGUACAUGGAUUUGCUUACCGAGUUGACGGUUCACCCUUCGUCUCCAAUAUUUUAUAGAUUGAUUAAAAAUGUGGCUUUGAUUCUUAGAUGGAGAAUUUUUCUUAGUGGAUCUUUGGAGUUGCUUUAAAUAUUAAAUUUGACUAGACUUCUUAUUUUGGAUUAGAGACUUUUCUUUGGAGACUUUAUUUCAUAUGUUUUAUAUAAGGAUUCAGUUGGAGUAUGAAUAAUGAUUGUCUAUCUUGAAAUUUAUUAAUAAGAAUAAAUGAUGUGAGGUUUUAUUCCAAUUUUACCCUUGUGUUUUCAUGGGUAAUUUUUGGGGUGUUACAUAAAAGCCAACAAAACUGAACCGAUUCCCUCCCAAAAUCACAAAGUCGAGUAAACAAAAAUAAGAGAGAAAACUCCUUGAAGAACAAGCGGCCCUCUACCCAUUCUGCACUUCAGCUAUCACCACGGCCUUAGCCGUGUCACCACCACCUUGUCUUGCCUCCUUCAUUGGUUAUUAGGUAAGUAAUUUUCAUUUUCUUCUUUCUCCUACAAAUAUUCAAAGAAAAAUUUUAGGGUUUUUGCUGUAAAUAGUGAGUGAUUUAGUGAAUUGGGUAUAAUUUAUGGGAUUACUAAAAAUGGAAAGAAUUAGAAGUAUAACAUGAACAAUGUAAUACAAUAUAUCGCGAAGAGACAUACAAAAACAAAUGUCAGACAACAUAUUUUUAUUUGAAGAACUUCAAAUUUAUUUUGUUUCCUCUAUGGAUUUUGUAUUCUUAUUUUUGUUUGAGUGCAACAAUUAAGAUUUGGCAACAAUGUGGUUAAAGAGAAGUUGAUUAAAGAAUCAUGUGGGUUAGUUUUCCCAAUUUUUGCUUUGUGGUUGGAGAAAGGAUGUGUUUAGUUUUGAAAUAUUAUGACUCAAUUUUAAAGGUUAUUUGAUUGUGUUCAUUGGAUGAAUUUUCUAAAAGAAUUAAAUGUUUAAAGAAAAGUUCUUAAUUGUUUUAGAAGACUUUAAAUGCUAUUUAUGAAAAGAUGUAAGGUGGAUUCAAAAAUGUUUUAGCUCAUAGUUCGUAGUAAUGUAUACAAUGCAAAUGUUAUGAUGUUAUGAUGUUAUGAAAUGCUAUGGCCAACUUGCUAGUAUGAUGAUGAUUUUGUGCACAAGGAUGUUAUGAACAAUGUGGGAUAUAGUACCCUAAAUGAGGAAUAAUGCGGGGUAUAACACUCUAAAUGAUGAAUGAUGAAUGAUGAUAACUACGAGGCAUGAGCUACCAAUGUUUAUGGUUUAAUGUUUUUAUGAAUGCUUUAAUGUUUUUAAUGCUUUUAUAUGAAUCCACCCCUUAUGCUAAAGGAAAAUGUUCUCAUAAAAUGUUUAAAGGUAUAUGACAAAGGUUUUCAAAUAUUGUACAUGGAUUUGCUUACCGAGUUGACGGUUCACCCUUCGUCUCCAAUAUUUUAUAGAUUGAUUAAAAAUGUGGCUUUGAUUCUUAGAUGGAGAAUUUUUCUUAGUGGAUCUUUGGAGUUGCUUUAAAUAUUAAAUUUGACUAGACUUCUUAUUUUGGAUUAGAGACUUUUCUUUGGAGACUUUAUUUCAUAUGUUUUAUAUAAGGAUUCAGUUGGAGUAUGAAUAAUGAUUGUCUAUCUUGAGAUUUAUUAAUAAGAAUAAAUUAUGUGAGGUUUCAUUCCAAUUUUACCCUUAUGUUUUCAACUUAUAAUCAUCAAUAUUACAAAUAAAUUUCACGGAUGAUCAUACAAUAUUGUUUUGUAUUGUACUCUAUGUAAAUUAUAUAUUGCAGCACAUAAAGUGAGGCAUUAGAUACUUAUCCAUCCCUCAUUGAAAGUGUUUAGCACUUAUGAUGGGUUUGGCUAGCUGGCACCAUAUGGGGUCUCAAAAGGAGAGCCCGACUGUCUUUGGCUACCAAAUACAUGGUGCAAUCAGUUUGUUAACGGGUUGCACUUUUUAAAAAAAAAUUAAAAAAUUAAAAAUAAAAUUGAAAACUUUUAAAUAAAAUGUUCAAAAAAUUAGUAUUUUAUAAUAUAAUUACAAGUAAACAAAUAAUAGUAUUACCAUGUUGCAUGUUUUAUGUGGUAAGUUGAAGAUUUCAUGUGAAAAUGUUGCAUGUUGCAUAUAUUAUGUCCAUUAUUGCAUGUUUCACAUUCGAUAUUGCAUGUUUCACAUUCGAUAUUGCAUGUUUUGAAUAAAGUCAAAAAAGGAAAUAUUCUCAAAUAUUUUUGCCAAUUUCAUGUUUGACGGUAAUGUUCCAUAUUAUACGUGAUAUGGGAAUAUCACAACCCGAUAUUAUACCUGAUAAUACUAUAAGGUCAAAAUACCUGACCCGAUCCGACCCGAAAAAUUUCGGGUUCGGAUCGGAUCGGGUUGUUAAUGCAACCCGAUCGGAUGAAAUCUUGCAAACCCAAUCGGGUUGCUUUAUAAAAAAAAAAAAUCUAAGUGGCUAAACACACGCACACGGCACACGGCACACCACACAUAAUCAUACACAAAUCACAUACUCAAAAGGUUACACAAACACAAGACUCACAACAAAACACAAACCCCAACUUAAAUUGUCUGCGAAUUUGCUCUUUCUCAAAAUUUCUUUCUUUUUUUUUGUUUUCUUAAUGUGAUUUUUUUUCAAAAGACAAGUUGCGAUGAUGAUGAGUGAAAUUAAUCUCGUUAAUCUGAGAUAAACAUAAGGAAAAAUUCUCUAAUCCAUUGUUAAUUAUCCUGAGCACCUUCUCUUCCUCUUUAGUAAAAAAAAAAAAAAUCACAACACCCAACCCUCAAGAAGUAAGAAAACAUUCUCUCCUUCUCGCGAUCUGCUGCUGCCGUGUUGUGAGUCCGGCCAUCUGCUGCUGCGUUAGCGAUCUGCUGUUGCCGUGCUGCUGCCGUGUUGCAUCCAGCCAUCUACUGCUGCGUCCGCGAUCUGCUGCCGCCGUGCUGCGUCCAGCCAUCACGAGGAAACUGCUGUGCGUCCAACCGUGCGCGAGCUGCUGCUGCACAUCCAUCGAUUUGCUGCCAAAAACCCAGCCGUGAUCUGCUGCCGUGGCCGCCGAUCUGCUGCUCCAAGGCUCAAGCCUCCAACCCGACCCGAGUUUCUCCCCUAUGUGUUUUGAAUUUUGAAGCUUUCAUGGUGCAUUGGUAUAUAUGUUUUGAAUUGACCUGUUUUCAUCAACCCGAAUUGGCUUAAUUUGACCGGAAUUCAAUAUGAUUCGUUUUUAAUCCGAACCGAUUCUACCCGAAUUCAACCCGAUUUUUGACCCGAUCCGAAUAUAUAUCGGAUCGGAUCGGAUGGGGUCGGAUUGUAAGUUCAGGUUGCAUUCGGAUCAAUGUUUGCCCAACCCAAAUAACCCAAAACCCGAUCGGGUUGACCCAAACCCGACCCGAAUCCGAUUUUGCCCACCCCUAAUUUUCAUAAUCUCAGCUGAAAUAGCAAAAGUUUUGCACUUUCUGUGUUACAUGCGCGUUGUAACGUACAAUUUGUAAAUUUAGAUGCAUGUUAAUUUUAUAUAAUUUUAUACAACGUGACAAUUAAGUAAAAAAUAAUGAAAAUAUACGAUUAACAUUCUCGUUCAUUAAUAUUAUGGAUAAAUGUUUUUUAUUGGCCCCCCCGCCCGGCCCUCCCUUAAAGCUUCCACUUCUGUUUCACCAGGUUCUGUUUUAAGCUCUGAGUUGGAACUUUGUGUUAAGUAAAGGAAAGAUAGCCACCGCACCUCGUGUUCUGAUCUUGAGUUUCGUUGGCGUCCUGCAUCUUCGGAUCGUUCUGCAGAAGCCAAGAUUAACAGGUCAGUAUCGAAAUCAAGUCUUGUUUGGGUUCAUUUAGAGUGUAUAAGUCUGCCUUUGCUGAAAAAUGUAGGAUGGAUGAAGAAGCCUACAUUCAGGGGAAAAAAAGGAAGAAAAGAAAUUGGUGAGUUUAUUAAGCUGUGAUUGUCUUGAAGCUUAAAUCAUGAUGGGUUAAAAUGGGUUUGAUGUUGGUGCUAACUCAGAGCUUGAAUUUCAGCUUAGAUGGGUUAAAAAUUAAAUUGUUAUUUUUUUUCUUAAAUAAUGCCUCGUGAUGCUUCUGAUGUAUUUGAAGAGCACUGCCUUAAAAAGUCUUGAACCAUAAAUUCGUAGAUAAAAUUAAAAAUCUUCAAUUCAUUAUUACAAAAGUAGAUUGAUUGAAGCAAAACUUUGGUGAGAUAAAAAUGGGUUUAAUGUUAGCUGAUCAUGAUGCAUGCAAACAGUUUUGAGCUUUCUCCUAACACUAUGAUGUGGAAUUUUCUUUGAGUUUGUUUUACUUCGGUGAUCUUGAAACUUUUGUGGAGUUUUCUGUUCAUUAGUUGCAUGUAUUUGAUGAAGAUUCUGUGCAUAAUGAGAUCUGGUAUGAGGCGUUGCUCUGUACAACAUAACUUCAUUCAUUGCUUAUAUAUGAUGUGAAUUGUGACCCAGAAAGUUCUAGUUCCCAGCAUCUUGAUGGGGAAUUGCUGCAAUGAUUACCCUGGUCCAGUCCAAUGUCCAUGACAAUGCUGAGAUUUUAAUUUCAACUCACAUUAGUGCUUUUUUUCCCCCUAAAUGUGGAUAGUAAUCAUUGAUAUAGUUUUAAUAUGAUUUUUCAUUUUGAUUGUCAGUUUGUUUGCUUCUAGAAAACAAGACAGCAUACCCAAGAAUGAAACCACACAAUCCAUAGCAUUGAGCAAUGAAGCAGAUCGACUGAAGGUGCAUUGAAAAAUAAAGCAGCAAAGCACGAUCUAGCCCAUCAACUAAUUUUUGAAGGGAUUAAUUAGAUGAUAUAAUGCCUUUUGAUAGGGAAAACUAGAAAGACGGGGUAUCAUCUAGUCAGACUAACCAUAGGUUUGCAUUUUUUUCUUAUUUUGACUUUUGUAAAUGAAAACGUCAUGUUGCCAAAGACAAGUAAUAUCUUAAGCUUGCUUGGUUAAUUCAUGCAAACUGGACAAGAGUUUGCAAGGAGCUUUUAUGUGCAGCUAUUGCCUGCUUUGUGAAGGCUGUUAAUUGUGGCUAUAACUGAUGCUGCUUAAAUUAUUUGAUACUGGAAUGCAAUAUGUGGUUUUAUAUUUAAUGCUUAUCUUCAUUUCUCAAUUGUGCUAAGUCAGAUUGAAUUCAUAUUUGAGUAGAAUAUUAUAUUUGUUGGUAGUGUAGUUGUGGCACUAAAGCUUUAGUGGAUUAAAAUAAGUUAUGGAUUUGUUUGGUGGCAUUGAAUCUUAAUUUGGUCGUUUGUACUGUGGCUACUGCUUAGUGACUGCUGCAGUUUGGAACUUACUGCCAGCAGUCAGUUUUUAUCAGUUGCUUUUUCCUGAUUCAUCUAGCAUUCUAGCUUAAUUAAUCUCCAUAGGAGACUAUGAGAGACUUUGUAAGGCAACAGUUUACAUUCAUUUUUAUUUUUUUAUUUGGUUUUACUUGUAAAUUUUAAAUGCUAAUGAGGGUAAAUUUGUCAUAUUGUUUAUUUGGUGUAGUUGUAAAUAACCAUACAUUGUAAUGGUAGCUUCGUCAAAUUUCAGUAUUUGUGAUUUUGGUGGCAGAUGCUUUUGUUAGGUUUUAUAGGCAUGUCAGGUAUCUCAAAAGGUAUCAGGGGCAUGAUAAUACUUUCAGUGUCCAACCAGCAUUCAAGCAGAAAAGUAAUUGACGGCAGGGGGUCUUUCACCAAUAAAUGCAUCUUUGCUGUCUAACUGCAAAUAUGUCAAAUCUCAGAGAUGGUAUCUAAAAAUUACCCUUUUAUAAUGUUACUUCAAUCUCAAAAUAUCAUUUUCCUUUCAGUUUUAUGAAUGGAGAACCUUCAUUACUUCUACAUCCUUAGUUCUUUGACCUUCUUGCUGACCAUGCAGUUAUCAUUCGCAGCUGAUACAGUAACUACAGCAACAUUCAUCUGUGAUGGUGAGAAAUUGGUUUCCUCAUCUCAAAGGUUUGAGCUAGGCUUCUCCUCUCCUGGUAAUUCAAAGCACAGGUGCUUAGGAAUAGGGUUCAAGAAGAGCCCUGAUACAGUUGUUUGGUUGCUAAAAGCACAAAACCUGGUGGCACAACUCUUGGAUACUAGAAACUUUGUUCUUGGGGAUAAUAUUUUAGUAGUAAUACUUGUGGAGGGGACUAUCUGUGGCAGAGCUUUGACUGCCCAUCAGACACUCUGUUACCAGGCAUCAAGGUGGUUGGGGAUUUAAAUAUUGUUCUGGAGCUAUAUUUAACAUCAUGGAGAAUCGCUGAUGAUCCUUCCCCAGGAAACUUUUCUUACAGACUUGACAUUCUUAUUCAUGGGGUUACCUUAAAUAUGUAUGUAGAAUGGGUCUGUGAAAAAUACAUGUUCUGCAACCUGGAAUGGAGUUACCUUUGGAGAUGCUCCUUCAUAUAUAAAGUACAAACUAUCUUUAUGAAGAAGUUUUGGCUGACAAUGAAGAUGAAAUUUAUAUCAGGUAUGACUCCAUCAACAUUUCAAGUGUAGUGAUUUUGAAAGUCAACCUUGCAGGUCCGGUCACGCAUCUAAUAUGGAACGUGAUGUUCUCAGCUCCAGGUAGAUUUUGCGACUAGUAUGCAUAUUUUAGUGCUAAUAGUAUAAGUAGCCCUGACAAUGCAUCUAAUCGUGAGUGUUUGAAGGGAUUCAAACUUGAAUCACAAGACAACCAAAUGAAUGUGAGAAUAGUCAUUCAUCAGAUUGCAAAAGUGGAGAGCAGUUUAUAAAUCUUAAUGCAUUAAAGCACCUGACUUGUUAGAGGUUUGGCUAAUGAGAGAAUCAAUCUGAAGCGGAGUGAGGCUGACUGCUUGAAGAACUGUACAUGUAGAGCUUAUACUGAUUCCAAGCUAACAGGAGGAGACAGUGGCUGUUUAAUGUGUUUUGGGGACCUGAUUUUUGUCAGAAGGUCACUUGGAAACUUCACAGGACAAUCUGUCUACAUACGAGUACCCGCUUCAGAACCAGGUAUAAUUGUUGCAUUCUUGAAAUUGAUAGUAUUAAAUUUUUUGUUUCAGUAAGGCUUCAUCCGAGUCAAAAUGCAUUUAAGCCUUCUCAUUUCAGGAUUGAAUUGAAGACUUGAAUUUUAGUAUUCUUUCAGUAUGUGUUACUCUCGUUCAUUUGUUGAGUAUGGUGCAAACUUAUCAAACUACCCUGCUAGGAGUCUAGUGCCUGACCUAAUGUAGCGAUAUUGUUUAUCUAUAGUCAUCAAAUUUAGGUCACAGUCCACCGGAUACUAAAAUUUUUCUGGAUGUAUGAAGCAAGAACCACUAUGGAUGACUAUAAUAGUUGUUCUUCUGGUAAUAGUACUUCUUGCCUUUUUUUUUUUUUUUUCAUAUUUUGUCGAUGGAGGAGAAAACACAAAGAUGAAGGUGAGCUUAUUUUAGAUCACUCAUAUUUUGUGUAUCCAUGAGUGUACUAGUGUAAAUGAGAAAAAUUUUGCUCACCUUUCUUAAUGCUGAUUUGCAGAAUGAAAGAAAAUUGAAAUCAGCCAGGAUAUGUUAUCAUUUGACCUAAAUAUGGGCAUUAAGACGGGCAAGAGCAAAGAGCAAGGAAGCUUGGUUUCCGUUUUUCAGCUUGGCAAGCAUAAGUGCAGCUACAGAUAACUUCUCUCAAGGAAAUAAACUAGGAGAAGGUGGUUUUGGAGAUGUAUACAAAGUAAAACAGAGUGAAAUGUGAUGUGUUGAAGAAUGAAAUUGAAAACAGGGAAAACUAUUUAAUGGAGAGGAAGUUGUUGUUGAGAGGCUUUCAAGUCAGUCAGGACAAGGACAAGAAGAGUUUAAAAAUGAGAUGAUGUGUUUAGCUUUGGAGUAUUACUAUUGGGAGCACUGAGUAGCAAGAAGAAUACCCACUUCUAUGAUUCUGAUUCACUUACCCUUGGCCACGUAAGUGACAAGAUUUCUUACUUUUUUCUCUUCUUUCUUUUUUGUUCUUUAAUCUAGUAAAAUUUCUAAAAGUUUGAUUAUUGAACCAGAGAAAAGCAAGGAGCUUCCUACAUCAGUAGAAUCAAUGUGAGAGCUGACUUAUUCAUUCAGCAUUUGAAUGAUCUGUUUGGCUUCGGGUAUGGAAUCUGUGGACUGAUGGUAGAGCCUGGGAACUGAAGGGUCCUGUAUUGGAAAAAGAAGCAUCUUAUCCAAUACUGAAGAGAUACAUUAACAUGGCCCUUCUCUCUGUUCAGGAGAAUGCAGCUGAUAGGCCAGCCAAGUUGUUUGCUUAGAAUCUCAGUUUAUGUUUUUUAUUUUUCGGUUGAGAAACUGAGCUGAAUUUCUUUUCUGAUAGAUAACAAAUGAAUGUGUACUACAUCACUCUUUAGACAAUCUGUGGACAUGAUGCUUCAGCUAAAUCUAAUCUUGCAAAUGGUGUCUCUGAUAGCUUGAGCUAAACAUUGUAUUAGUGUUGUUGCUUUUUUUUUUUUUUUAAUUGGUAGUGUUGUUUUUUUUUUUAAUUACAUGCUCAGAUUUUUUGAAUAAUUGCAUUCAUUCAAAUAUUUUCGAUAAUUGAAGAAGGAAUUAAACCCCAUAAUGACUUGUGGGGGUUUGGACUGCUGUGAUUCGGCCGCUCGGGCUCUAUUAGUAGUGUUGUUAACAAUUGAGUAACUAACAUUGCUUGCACUGAUGAUUAUAAGUUGAGUAUUAUUUUUUUAAUACUGAAAAUAAUUUAAAAUGGUAAAUAUUUAUUUUUUACUGUUGUAUGAUCAGCAGUGAAAUUUAUCUGUAACACUGAUGAUCAUAAGUUGAAUGUUCGACCAUUAAAUAUUGCCAUAAAUCACCAUCAAAAUUGAGUUCAAUAGAAUAAUGACUACGGCACCCCAUUUAUCAAACAAUCAAACAAAUUUCUCUUUUCUGAUACAAGCUUGAAAUAUCUGGCGAUAAUGUCAAGUCAAGAUGCUACAACUUACCUAACCAAAAUGAAAUAAAGAUUUUGGAACCACUAACCAUGCAGGAAGUCCUGAAUAAUUAAAAUAACUCCUUUUUCAACAAGUAAUUUUUAAACUAUUUUUAAGUUUUGAAGAGUCUAAAAGACUUCAUUUUCAACGCCACGAUGUCUAAGCAGUAGACUUGUUUGACACUGGGCAGGACUAGUGUUUUAGAAGAUGGUUAUGAAUUCAAUUUCAAUCAAUCUCAAAACAUUUAUGCUGCAUUUACUUUUUGGAUUGAAGUGGGAAUCCUGAGGAGUGAGAAUUCUUAGAUUAGGAGUGUAGAGUGGGAGUGAGAGUAGGGUGUUUACUUAGACUAAAUGAAAGUAUGGAUUGUCAAUCAGAAUCCUAAUUAUUUGUUUACUUUGUCCUGGAUUGGGAGUAAAUUGUUUUAAAUUAUAAUUUUAUCCUUAUGUACAGAAUUAUAAUUUGUAAUUAAAAAAUUAAUAAAGAAUAUAUUUGAAAAAUAAAAUAAAUAUUUUAUUAUAUUUAUAAAUUAAUAAUAAUUACUAAUAUUCUUAAUUAUGUAAAUAAUAAUUUUUUAUUAAUUUAAAUUUAAAUUAUGUGAAUAAAAAUUAUUAAUAAUAGCAACACAAAUGAAAUAUUAUUAUUGAUAAUAUAGUACAAAAUUAAUAUUUUUUUAUUUAUUUUUAUAAGGAUAAAAUGGGAAGAGGGGGGAGUGGGAUUCCCACUCCCACCUCUCCAAAAUUAGGUGGGACCCACGGAUUCCCACUCCAACUCCUCCAUUUUUUAAGGUAAGUAAACACUGGAGUGGGAGGAAUCCACACUCUAUACUCCCACUCCAGAAAGUAAACACUGCCUUAGACAUUUUUCUUCCAGUUUUAGAAUGGAGAACCUUUUUAGCUUCUACAUCAUUAAUUCAUUGAUCUCUUUGUUGACCUUGCAUUUUUCGUUAGCAGCAGAUACAAUAACUCCAGCAACAUUCAUCUGUGAUGGCGAGAAGUUGGUUUCAUCGUCUCAAAGGUUUGAGCUCGGCUUCUUAUCUCCUGGCAAUUCAAAGAACAUGUACUUGGGAAUAUGGUACCAGAUGAGCCAUGACACAGUGUUUGGGUUGCUAAUAGAAAUACUCCAAUUCUUGAUCCACAUGGAGUUUUAGCUAGUAGCAACAAUGGGAACCUUGUCCUUCUCAACCAAGCAAAUGGGACUAUCUGGUCUUCAAACGUGUCUAGAGAACUAAAAAGUCCAGUGGCACAGCUGUUAGAUACCGGAAACCUUGUUCUAAGGGACAAUUUUAGCAGUAAUACUUCUGAAGGAAGCUAUCUGUGGCAGAGCUUUGACUACCCAUCAGACACUCUGUUACCGGGCAUGAAGUUGGGAUGGGAUUUAAAGACUGGCGGGGAACGUUAUCAAACUUCGUGGAGAACGAUUAAUGAUCCAUACCCAGGAAACUUUACUUUAAGACUUGACAUUCAUGUGAUGCCUCAAAUUUGUAUUUACAGUGGAUCGGUGAGGUUAUUCCGUCUUGGACCAUGGAAUGGAUUUCGCUUUGAAGAUGCUGCUACAUAUGUUGAUGCGAGAUUCUGGUUCUCCUCGUUCUACAACCAGGGUCUCUGCUCGAUCAACUUCACCACGACCAGGAUCUCUCCUCGUAAAGCUUCUUCUCUAGAGGUUCCUGCGCACACAGACAGGUCAGAGUACGCCGGUUGUUUUCCCGGCGCAAACCCUCCGACGCUCAAGUCAGAUAUGAAGGUUCGAGGAACGCUUGCCACAAAUCUUAUGGCUGUUAGGUUGUUUUCUCUCUUUUCUUAAUUCAAAUAGCAAAAAAUCUAACCCUUUUACCUUCGUUGGCUACCUUUUUAUAGGCUUCCUCUGAGUCCCAGUCUUCCGCAGUUUACGCCCGUUGUUCUCCCCACGCUCGGAUGUGGAUGUCCCAUUAUCUUCAUGAUGGGCGAAUGGAGAUGGACCUCGUGCCUUGAUUCUCGGAUAGGAAGGCACGUCUCGCCAACUGCCGUUGACCGGGUCUCCUCGCCUCGAACCCUAGCGGGAGUGACCCUAUGCCUCUAGCAAGGGUUCCGCCUCACGAAUGGCAUAUUCGUGGACGAGCAGAAUAUUCCUACUCCUGUUCCCUUGCUACCUGGCUCUUACAGGAGACACCUGCUCGCAGAAUUCUGCCACCAAACAUCUGCUCAUCACGUCUGGUCUCACCGAAGUAUUUCCCUCAAACACCGGUCCCCCAGUUUCUGGUGUUGCGUAAUGUAAUGGACCAGCAGUAGAAACUCAGUGGUUCUUAGUCGCGUGGGACUGGAAAAGGUUGCCAAGGAAAAUGCCCAAGGGGUGGAGCCAAUCGUGAUUGAGGAGGAAAGCUCUCUUCCUCAUGCAAUCCCUGCUGAUGUUGGCGAGGCAAGCACCCCCCCGGACGCAACUGGUGAUACCCCCCCUGCACCUGAGGAGGCCCAGCCCACCGACGCUGCUUGGCUUACUGAUCCACCAUCUUCUUGAUGUAUUUCUUGUCUUGUAAUGAACCAUGUUUGUGAAGAUUCUCUCCUCUGUUAAUUAUUAAAUAAUUAAAAAAUGUUUUUUGAUUACUUUCUUGUGUUGUAAUCAUGAGUUAUUUUUCGUUUGAGAAUCUGCUCGUCUUCGUCUGAUUGAGCAAGUUCUGGCUUGCAUAUGGUUUCGCCACAUGCCUUGGAAAAUUCUUCAAUGCUUGAGAUUCUGCUCGCCUUCGCGUGGUCAAGCAGAUCCUGGCAUGCUUGGCUUCUGUCUCGCCAUAAAACAGGCUUUGAGACUUGGUGAGCCUUUGCAUGCCUUAGUAAAUUUUUCGAAUGCUUUGGAGUCUGCUCGCCUUCGCGUGGUCGAGCAUAUCCUGGCACACUUGGCUUCGGUCUCGCCAUAAAACAGGCUUUGAGACUUAACGAGCCUUUGCAUGCCUUAGUAAAUUCUUCAAUGCUUGGGAUUCUGCUCGCCUUCUCGUGGUCGAGCAGAUCCUGGCACGAUUGGCUUCUGUCUCGCCAUAAAACAGGCUUUGAGACCUGACGAGCCUUUGCAUGCCUUAGUAAAUUUUUCGAAUGCUUUGGAGUCUGCUCGCCUUCGCGUGGUCGAGCAGAUCCUGGCACGCUUGGCUUCUGCCUCCCCAUAAAACAGGCUUUGAGACUUGGCGAGCCUUUGCAUGCCUUNNNNNNNNNNNNNNNNNNNNNNNNNNNNNNNNNNNNNNNNNNNNNNNNNNNNNNNNNNNNNNNNNNNNNNNNNNNNNNNNNNNNNNNNNNNNNNNNNNNNNNNNNNNNNNNNNNNNNNNNNNNNNNNNNNNNNNNNNNNNNNNNNNNNNNNNNNNNNNNNNNNNNNNNNNNNNNNNNNNNNNNNNNNNNNNNNNNNNNNNNNNNNNNNNNNNNNNNNNNNNNNNNNNNNNNNNNNNNNNNNNNNNNNNNNNNNNNNNNNNNNNNNNNNNNNNNNNNNNNNNNNNNNNNNNNNNNNNNNNNNNNNNNNNNNNNNNNNNNNNNNNNNNNNNNNNNNNNNNNNNNNNNNNNNNNNNNNNNNNNNNNNNNNNNNNNNNNNNNNNNNNNNNNNNNNNNNNNNNNNNNNNNNNNNNNNNNNNNNNNNNNNNNNNNNNNNNNNNNNNNNNNNNNNNNNNNNNNNNNNNNNNNNNNNNNNNNNNNNNNNNNNNNNNNNNNNNNNNNNNNNNNNNNNNGCCAUAAAACAGACUUUGAGACUUGGUGAGCCUUUGCAUGCCUUAGAUGAUUUCUUCAAAGCUUGGGAUUCUGCUAGCCUUCUCGUGGCCGAGCAGAUCCUGGCAUGCUUGGCUUCUGUCUCGCCAUAAAACAGGCUUUGAGACUUGGUGAGCCUUUGCAUGCCUUAGAUGAUCUAUCACAGUUUCAAGUGAAUGACGUUCCUCGACGUUCCAUUAAUUACAGGUUUUGAUUUUACAUGAACUUGUUUUGGACAUAAAAUAAAUAACCGCAAAUACGAACAGAAAGAACUUGAAAAUAUUAACAACUCUUACUGGAAAUAUUUCCUGAGAUGUGCUGCGUUCCAUGGGCGCUUCACCUCGUGGCCAUCCAUGCGGACCAGCUUGUAGGCUCCUGGUCCAAUUAGCUGCCUGACUCUAUAUGGCCCCCCCCAAUUUGGACCGAGCAUUCCUUGAGUCGAGUCUUUUGUGUUCUGAUUUACUCUCCUUAACACCCAAUCUCCAACCUUGAACUGCCAUACAUUCACGUCCUGGUUAUAAUACCGAGCAACCCUCUGCUGGUAAAUGGCUGAUCGCUUGGCUGCUUGAUCCCUCUUUUCCGUCAGUAAAUCAAGAUUCAAUACCGAGCACAUCUGCAUGAGACUGUAAGCAUUUCACUAACUCCUGCUUCUGCUCUUCCUUAUGUUUUGACCCGAUUCUGAUCGUCGUUCCCAGAUUCUCUGGUCCCACGCUUACUGUCUCCAGCUCCUCUACAGGUUCUUGUCUGCCCUUCUUGCUUUCCACUCGGGUGUUAAAGGAUGUUAUCUGCAUUGCCUCAUUUGCUGCCGAGGAGUAGCAGCUUCUAGCGAUUCUCUAGUCCCCUCGUACCACACCAACUACCCCGUUCACCCGAUACUUGAGAGCCAGAUAAUGGAUGGACAAUACCGCUUUGCUCAUCCUUAGAAGCGGCCGACCUAGGAUCAUCUGGUAAGGACCUUCUUCAUCCACCACCACAAAGUCCAGUAUCAUUGUCCUUUCCAUCGAGGAGCUCCCAAUCGUGAUAGGCAGCUCGACCACGCCCAGAGGGACCAGCUUUCCUCCUUCAAACCCUUUCAAGGAGGUGUUGGUAUAUUCCAGCUUCCGGUCUGCUAUUCCCAUCUCCUCCAGGGUUGACUUAAACAAUAUGUCAACUGAGCUCCCUGUGUCAACCAGUAUCCUGUCAAACUUCUUACUAGCGACAGUGGCCUCGAUGACCAAAGCAUCCUCAUGAGGGUAUAAAAUCCCUUCCUCAUCCUCAUCUGUCCACAUGAUUGGCACUUGCCUAACUCUUGCACGUUUGGCUGCUGGGGUGUUGAAGAAUACCUCUUUGCUGGUCAUGACGUAUCUAGCAUAAUCUUCCUCGACCUGUUGGAAUCUCCAGCCAAUGUUGGGCCCCCAGCUAUCAUCCUUACUGUAGGCUGCUCGCGCCUCAAAUUCCUGUCACUCUGCUCCCCUUCAUUUGUUGAUGCUACCAUUGGGAAUGUCCCAUCUAUAAACUCGUCCAGAUACCGAUUUCUCACCAAAUCUUCAACCUGGGUCUUGAGAUCCCUGCAAUCUGCUGUGGUGUGGCCAUGAGUGCCAUGGAACUUACAAUAACGUCCCCUAUCCCUCCUGCUGGAUGGCUUUGUUAUUGGGGCAGGGAGGCACAACAGCCCUCGAUCCUUUAUGGCUUCAUACACCUCAUCCAGGGACAUCUUCAAGGAAGUAUACUGCCCAUAGUCCUGGUUCUGGUUGAUCAGGUGCACUGCUCUUUCUCUGUUUGCUCCGUUCUGAGUUGGGGGCGUUGGCAGUACUUCUGGUCUGCUCCCUCUGCUACCAUGGGAAUGUUGAUGAAGACCACCAUAUGCCGAAUCAUGCCUUCUCCAAGGCUCCCUAGCUGGGGAAUGAGGAGGUUGCGCCCUGCUGCGCUGAUACUGUGGUGGCCUCUGAUGGGGCUGGUAAGCAGUUACCCGACCUCCUGCUCCACUACCCAAGGUCUGGUGGUCCUUCCUCCUGAUCGGCCCAUUCCCUGGUAAUGCUCUCUUCUCUUUCCUCCCCAACCCUUCUAACUGGUCUGUUUUAAUCCGUGCGGCCUUCUCCUCUUCAAUCUCAAUGUCUCUCUUAGCCUGCUCGUAUGCGGCCGCAUAUGUCUGAAUAACUGGGCUUCUUAAGUUGUACCACAGCCUUCCUAUCUUCACCCCUUCUUUCAGUCCCCUUAACGCCUGAGGGUGGUUGAAGGCUCUCAAGUCGAGGACAGCACGAUGAAACCUCUUGAUGAAUUCCCGAAGGGUUUCUUGCUCUCCCUGUUUCAUGCUUUUCAGCUCCAUCAUGUCAUCUUCUGGUUCCAUUACCCCACUAAACUGCUCCAUAAAUUCCUGGCACAUCUGCUCGAAGGUUUUAAUGUUGCCCCGAGGAAGUUUCUUGUACCACUCUCGUGCACGUCCCUCAAGGGAUAGUGGGAACACCCUGCACCUUUGGGAUUGAGAUAAUCCUUGUACCCCAGUUAUGUCGUUGAAGCGCUCUAUGUGUACCAGCGGAUCACUUCUUCCCGAAUAUCUAAGGUCUGGGAGGCGGAAAUCUCUCGGAAUAACUGCCCUCAUGAUCUCUGCUGCGAGCGGUGAUUCUCCGUCCAGCAUUAUCCUCCAACCAGGAGCUCUGCUCCUCCCUUGCAUGUCGUCAAUUAUCUGCGCUAGUCUGCGUACUUCCUCCUCCAGCUGCACUGCACGACCAGGGUCACGUGCUGCAACUUGAUCCCGCUCUUGCUCUACAUCAUGUAAAUGUUGCCUCAGCACUGUUUCCUCUGCAUUCGCCACCCCCUCGUCCUCGUCAAAAAUCUGUCUUGCCGGGGACUGCUCUUCCUCUCUACGGAAUACUUCCCGCAGAGGUAUGUUACAUCUCUCACCACCAAAUCUCCCGGUGGUUUGACUUCUCCUCGUACUAUCGGGACCUGGUGCCACUCCACCAACUCUCAUCCUUUCCUCCCGGGUUACCCUUUGUUCACUCCGCAACUCAUGUAGGAUGGUUGUCAGGGUCUCCAUCUGCUUUUCCAUCUGUUCCAUCCGGUCGAACAUGGCUUUUUCCCGUGCUUCACUGGCUAUCUCUUUCAGAGUCACGGAAUCGUUAAGCCUCAUAUCACCCCCUUGUGCACUACUUCCUCCUGUCUCCAUUGCUUUUCACUUGCUUCACUCCUCUUCUUGCUAUCAACAGAAGCUUUUUGAUCAGAUCCCCACAGACGGCGCCAAAAUAUUGAUGCGAGAUUCUGAUUCUCCUCGUUCUACGACUAGGGUCUCUGCUCGAUCAACUUCACCACGACCAGGAUCUCUCCUCGUAAAGCUUCUUCUCCAUAGGUUCCUGCGCACACAGACAGGUCAGAGUACGCCGGUUGUUUUCCCAGCGCAAACCCUCCGACGCUCAAGUCAGAUAUGAAGGUUUGGGGAACGCUUGCCACAAAUCUUAUGGCUGUUAGGUUGUUUUCUCUCUUUUCUUAAUUCAAAUAGCAAAAAAUCUAACCCUUUUACCUUCGUUGGCUACCUUUUUAUAGGCUUCCUCUGAGUUCCGGUUUUCCGCAGUUUACGCCCGUUGUUCUCCCCACGCUCGGAUGUGGAUGUCCCAUUAUCUUCAUGAUGGGCGAAUGGAGAUGGACCUCGUGCCUUGAUUCUCGGAUAGGAAGGCACGUCUCGCCAACUGCCGUUGACCGGGUCUCCUCGCCUCGAACCCUAGCGAGAGUGACCCUAUGCCUCUAGCAAGGGUUCCGCCUCGCGAAUGGCAUAUUCGUGGACGAGCAGAAUAUUCCUGCUCCUGUUCCCUUGCUACCUGGCUCUUACAGGAGACACCUGCUCGCAGAAUUCUGCUACCAAACAUCUGCUCAUCACGUCUGGUCUCACCGAAGUAUUUCCCUCAAACAACAUAUAUACAAUAUCUUUAUAAACAAAUUGUUGUGGAUACUGAAGAUGAAUUUUAUUACAGGUAUGAGCCCUACAACAGUUUAAGCAUAACGAUUUUAAAACUCUACCUAUCAGGUAAGGUCCAGCGUCUACUAUGGAGUGACGAAAGCUAUAGCUGGCUUGUUGCGUUCUCAGCUCCCGAUGACUUAUGUCAAAAUUAUGGGCAUUGUGGGGCAAACAGUAUUUGCAAUGUUAACAAAACACCAAAGUGUGAAUGCUUGAAGGGAUUCAGACCCGAAUCACAGCACAACCAGACAUUGUCUACAACAUGUGAGGAGAAGUCAAAUGUCAGAUUGCAAAAGUGGAAGCCAGUUUAUAAAGUUUGAUGACAUGCAAGUGCCCGACUUGCUAGAGGUUUUGUUAAAUGAGAGUAUGAAUCUUAAGGAAUGUGAGGCUGAGUGCUUGAAGAACUGCACCUGUAGAGCUUAUGGCAACUCCAAUCUAAUAGGAGGAGGCAGUGGCUGUUUAAUGUGGUUUGGGGACAUGAUUGAUAUGAAAAGGACACUUGGAAAUCUCACCGGCCAGUCUAUCUACUUACGAGCACCAGCUUCACAACUAGGUACAUUUUUUAAGUUGAUAUUGCAAAGCUUUUCACUUCUGUUAUAGCAGUGUCGUCCGAUUAAAUCAAAUAUAUGAGCCACCGUAAUACAGAGCGAAAAUAACGCAAAGCAGGGGUUAUUUGGCUAUCUUUCAGUUUUUCUGGCAAAAUGAAGCUAGGAAUUUAUUUUCUACCAAUGACUAGCCUUGAUAGCAUAUAUAAUUUUGGUGUAGGAAAGAAGAAGACACUAUGGAUAGUGGUAUUAAUUGCGCUUCCGGUGGUAAUUCUUCCUGCUUUUUUCAUAUUUUACGGAAGGAAGAGAAAGCUCAAAGAGAAAGGUGACCUUCUUUUAAAUAACUCUUAUGUUUUGUGUCUAUGAGUCUAUCAGUGCACAUAAGAAAACGUAUGCUCAUAUUUUUUAAAGCCGGCUUACAGAAAGAAGGAGAACCGAAGUAAGCCAAGAUAUGUUACUAUUUGAAAUCAAUAUAGGCAAUAUGACCAGAGCAAAGGAAUUCUGUGAGGGAGAUAGCGCUGCAAAGGGAAAGAGUAAGGAAUCUUGGUUUAUCUUUUUCAGCUUGGCUAGUAUAUCAGCAGCUACACAUAAUUUCUCGGAAGAAAAUAAGCUCGGCGAAGGUGGCUUUGGACCUGUUUAUAAGGUAGUAUUCUUGUGAACUUUACUGCAAUAAACAGAGUAUAGACCGUUGCGUUGAAAUACGAAAUUGAAAACAGGGUAAACUACUUAAUGGAGAGGAAGUUGCGGUCAAAAGGCUCUCAAAUAAGUCAGGACAAGGAGUAGAAGAAUUUAAAAAUGAGAUGAUACUUAUAGCAAAACUUCACCACAGGAACCUUGUCAGACUCUUCGGCUACUGUAUUGAGCAAGGCGAAAAGAUUUUGAUAUAUGAGUACAUGCCUAACAAAAGCUUGGACUUUUUCCUUUUUGGUACUUUUCUUUUUUUCCCAUCAUUCAAGAAAAAAAAAUAUUUUAAAUUUCUCGCUAGCUUUUAUUAGAAGCCAUUGUUUUGACUUGUAUCAUUUCAGAUUAUAAAUAUUCCUCAGGGUUUGAUAUGGUAACAGAUCCUGCUAGUAAAGGUAUAUUAGAUUGGACCACACGUGUUAGAAUCAUUGAAGGAAUUGCUCAAGGGCUUCUAUAUCUUCACCAGUAUUCAAGAUUAAGAGUUAUUCAUAGGGAUCUCAAGGCAAGUAAUGUUCUCUUAGAUGGUGACAUGAAUCCAAAAAUAUCCGAUUUUGGCAUCGCAAGAAUGUUUGGUGGUGAUGAACUACAGUCAAAUAUGAAUCGGAUAGUUGGAACUUAGUAAGUAAAUUUGAUCCCUAAGACUAUUUAAAUCCUCAUGCAAAUAUCAUUUGCUUGCAUUGUUGUCUAUUUGAUGAAAUAAUGAAUUUCAGUGGUUAUAUGUCGCCUGAGUACGCUCUGCAUGGCCUCUUCUCUAUCAAAUCUGAUGUUUUUAGCUUUGGAGUAUUACUGUUGGAAACACUCAGUAGCAAGAAGAAUACCCGCUUUUAUAAUAUUGAUUCCCUUACCCUUCUUGGCCAUGUAAGUGAGAAUAUUUCUCAUUUAUUUCUUUUGAGCAUAUUACAAUGAAUCUAGCAAUAAUACUGAAAGAACAAAGUUUAGUUAUUGAAUUGGAAAAGUUAAGAAUUUCAUAUAUUAGCAGAACUAAAAUGAGGGCUAGCUUAUUCAUUUAGCAUUUGAAUUUUUUGUUCUUCUUUAGGCUUGGAAUUUGUGGAAGGAUGAUAGAGCCUGGAAGCUGCUGGAUCCGACACUGCAAAAUGAAGCACUAUAUCCGAUGGUAAAGAGAUACAUUAAAGUAGCCCUUUUAUGUGUUCAAGAGAAUGCAGCGGAUAGACCAACCAUGUCGGAAGUUGUCUCAAUGCUUAAAAAUGAGAUUGUUAAUUUACCUUCCCCACAACAACCUGCUUUCUCAUAUGUGCGAAUUGUGGAAAAGUCAGUUUUGCUAGAAAAUAGUGAGGCCGAAGCCUCUUCAGGAAACUGCUUAACACUUUCAAUGGUAGAUGCUCGAUAGCCAUAUGACCCUUACUCUGUGUUCUCAGUUGGAAAGGAAUCAAAUGUUUUGAUAUUUUGCUUAGAAUCACAGAGUUUCUUUACUAAGAACAAGUACAAAAUCUAAGAGAUAUUAAGCUGGAUUUUUCUUUUCUUAUUAAAAACAAAUGAAUUUGUACUACACCACUUUUUAUACCAUCUGUAGUUGUGAAGAUUAUGUUAUAACUAAUCUUCCAAGUGGCCUAACUAAUAGCAUAAAUUGAGCACUUUAUUAACCGUUUGGUUAUCAACUCUGUUAAUUUACUUUCUCCCAAAUAGCAUGUCUUUGUAUUUGUGACAAUUAUAGAAAAUUAUGUUCUACCCACAAGUUUGUUGGCUGAAGCUUCUUUACAUUCAAUGAUGGCAGCUGGAUAGCUAUAGUAGCAGAUACAUCUAUUGAGUAAGAGAAAAGUAGGGUAACUAGUUAUAUGUUCAUUCAUGCUUUCUUUGCAUGGCUUGCUUGUUUGUGUUUAAUAGAUCUAAUCUACAUAACUGUUAAUCCAGAUCCGAGGGAACAUAGCACUCCCUUUUUUAUUAUCCAUGGGUAUUCCCCAAGUAAUUGACUAAACCUAUCUUUCUUACCUUGCAACCCCUUUGUCACGAGAUGAGAGUUUUGUGCAGUAAACUCGUGCGGCACUUAAACAACUACUUUUAGCACACAAGUCGCUAAGUAAGCCUUUUCGAACUUCUCAAUUAGCUAAGCAAGAAUGCUUUGCGAAAAAUACUAGAGAGAAGAGAGUAAUGUGGCCAAAAUAUAUUUUAUUACACACUAAAAAUAAUAUACAAGAGAGCUAGAGGGCUUGUGUGUGUGUUAGUGUGUUUGUGUGUGUGGUGUGGUUGGUGGGCAAAUGAGGGGGCUCACCCCUAUUUAUAGGUGGUGGGGUGCAAGGUUCUUGAAUGUUCUAUGCAACUUGCAUAAAUAUCCUAGGCACUAAAAUGCUCAAACCUAGAAACUUCUAGCCUAUUCAUAAUUGUAGAGAAUUCUAGAUCUUGGGCGAGGCUUAGGGGAUUUGCUAAGCGCACCACGGUUGGCUAGUUGUGUUGGCGGCCCAUUUCUUAGUGCAUCCCACUCUAGUGCUAAGCGCAACCCGCUUGUAAGCGCACUCCACAUCUAGGCGGACUUUUGCUAAAUAAACCCGUGUGCGCAGAAUUAUCUUUUGAUUGCAGGAGAUUUGAACAGCUCAUGACAAUCCUCCCCCACUUAUGCUCACGGCGUCUUCGUCACGAUCUCGUCCUUGUUCAUUUGGACUUGUUUUGCGAUUUAUCGUAGGUCUUCCUUGCAUUCCUACGUUGCUUCACUUUUGGGGUGGUUUCUCCACAUGCAACGCAUGCGGUCAUCUUCUUCUUUGGUGUGUUGUUGUGGUGUUGGUUGUUGUUGUGCUUCCGGCUCUUGUGUUCUACCUCUCGUCGAGGUGGGAGUGUCUUUAAAAGUUUCGGAGGUUUGACAUCCUUGAUAUUGCCAUGGACGGUUUGUACUUGUUGUGGGACUUGGUUAUGAGGGUUUACGGAAUCCUUUCCCUUGUCGUGCUGCCGGAUGGAGACUAAGUGGCCGGGAUCCUUUUGAAAUCCUCUUAUUCAUUGCAUGACUGAGAGGGUCUUUUCCUCGGGCUGGGCGCGCUCGGCUGGUACAACGCAUGCCUUACUUCCGUCAAAGAUACUUAAGGAGUUCGUGGCCGGUAUUGGGAAGGCAUGGACCUUGUCGAAGAACCCCAUGCCAAGGAUCAUUGCGAAGCCGUCCAUCGACACUAUCGAGAAGUCGAGCUCCUAUUCCAUGUCCCAAGCAUAACAUGUACGCCUCAUGCGGUUCCCGCAAAUGUCUUAGGGGUGAGUUUACUGCCCUUAUGGUGCCUCCAGAUUGGGUUGCCUUGAGGCCUAAAUGCUUGGCCUCAUCUUCAGAGAUGAAAUUGUACGUUGCUCCGGUGUUGAGGAGCACACGAAUGGCUUGGCCGUUAAUGAGCGCACUCACAUACAUGAGCCCUUUCUUUAUAGGUGCAGACGGUUGGCUCACGAGUGCGCCAAGGCAUUAGAGCGAACUCAUGCUGCGUUGGGGUUCCUCCUCAAUCAGUGUGUGUUGGCCCUUGAGCUGUGCCCGAGGGCAUUAAGCGACUUUUUCUCGGGGCAGUCGCGCACCCAAUGAAGGGCAUUACAAAUGAAGCACAUGCUUGGAGGCUUGGGCGGCUUCUCGAAUUUACUUUGCCCGUUCUUGCUGCUUGGAGGCUUUUUCUACCCCCAAUCCUUGCGAUUGUGGCCGUUGUCCUCAUGGCCCUCUCCCCCACCUUUGUCGUAGAUAGGCCUCUUGUCCUUGGGCUGGGCGGAGUAAUUGGCAAGUGAUUCCACAACGGCGAUAGCGUCAUCGAGAGUUUGUACGCCAUGCCCAUCAAGUUCUGCCUUAGCCCAAUCUUUGAGGCCAUCUUGGAAGUAGAAGAAAGAGUCCUUAUUGGACAUGUCGGAAAUCUCAAGCAUUAAGGUAAUGUAGUCGUAGAUGUAAUCAUGGACACUACCCAUUUUCUUGAGCCGACGAAGGCGCGCUUGCGCUUCCUUCUCCACGUUGCUUGGGGCAAAGUGUUUGCGGAAUUCUCGUCGGAACUCAGUCCAUGUGUUGAUGGCACAAAUGCCCUUGCCCAUCUCACCAUACUUCCACCGCCACCAUAGUUGUGUAGCGCUUCCUAUGAAUGUAGGUGCGGUGCCUACUUUCAAUGUGUCAUCACGAACACCCAUGGUAUUGAAGUAUUGCUUUAGCCCAAAUAGGAAGUUGUCGACGACAAUGGCAUUGCGUGCACCAUCGUAGGUAUCCGGCUUUGGCACGUCAAUCCAGCACACAUCACUUGUGCUUGUGGAAGCUGAGCUAGGUGUGAGCGUGCGCUUGUGCCAAGCCCAAUCCAAGUGGAUCAUUUGUAGCUCACUUUGCACGAAGCUAAGCAAUUUCUAUAGCUCAUCAUGGAAUGCUCGAAACUCCCCUCGGAGUGAGUCGGCUUGGUCUUGCAUAAGGGCCUUGGUGGCUACCGUGAACUCACCAUACUCACGCUCGAGACCGUCAACCUUUACCUCCAAAGUAUCGAGGGUGUCCUAGACAACGGAUAUCGAAGUUUUGAGUGUGGCCAUGUGAGGCUCCAAGGCGUCUACGGAAGCGACCUUGGACUUGCCACGGGACUUAGCUUGUGCGCGUCCCUCCUCCCGACCAUGAUUUUGCUCAAGUGACUCCACGCGUGACUACACCGUCUUGUGUUGUGCUAGGAGGAUUGGCCAUUACUCGUUGAGCUAGCUUGCAUGGGUGCAAACCUUAGCUUUGAUACCACUUGUCAAGGGAUGAGAGUUUUGCGCAGCAAACCCAUGCGGCACUUAGACGUCUUCUUGCACACAAGUCACUAAGUAAGCCUUUUCAAACUUCUCAAUUAGCCAAGCAAGAAUGCUUUGAGGAAAAUGAUAGAGAGAAGAGAGCAAUGUGGCCAAAAUAUAUUUUAUCACACACUAAAAAUAAUAUACAAGAGAGCUAUAGAGCUUCUGUGUGUGUGGUGUAGUUGGUGGGCAAAUGAGGGGGCUCACCCCUAUUUAUAGGUGUUGGGGUGCAAGGUUCUUCAAUGUUCCAUGCAACUUGCAUAAAUAUCCUAGGGACUUAAAUGCUCAAACCUAGAAACUUCUAGCCUAUUCAUAAUUGUAGAGAAUUCGCGAUCUUGGGCAGGGCUUGGGUGAUUUGCUAAACGCACCACGAUUGGUUAGUUGUGUUGGCGGCCCAUUUCUUAGCGCAUCCCUCUUGUAAGCGCAUCCCGCUCUAGUGCUAAGCGCAACCCGCUUUUAAGCGCACUCCAUAUCUAGGCAGACUUUUGCAAAACGAGUCCAUGUGCGCGGAAUUAGACAAAAAAUGAAUGUGUACUAUAUCAAUCUUUGUACAAUCUGUGAACGUGAUGAUUAAACUAAUUCUAAUCUUGCAAGUGGUUUUUCAAAUAGCGUGAGAGCUUAGCAUUGUAUUAGGAGUGAUGUUAACAAUUUUUCUAGGAUGCAAGAUCUACUAAACUCAACAGAGUGAGCUUCAUUUGGUCUCAAGUGGAAGCACCAAGGAUGCAAAUUGAGCUUGGCUUUUAAGUAGUUAAGGUAGCUUGAAAGCAAAUGGCUUGGUCAAGACAUCAAACAAUUCUUUUCUUGGCUUAUGGUGGAAAAUAGCAAAUUUCAAAUAUACAUCUUUGUUGAUAACCUUAAUUAUCUUUGACGAAGCAGUGUCCAUUUCUGUUGCAUUGCUCUGUAAUCUACAUGAUAAACAAUUAGACAUGAUUCUGCGCCAACAUGCGUGCACUUUGUUUAUCACUCAAUAUCACAAGAAUGAAGUACACUUAAGUUUAGGCUCCUUAAAUAAGGAACUUCACUAAGCAAUCUUAGCAUUAGCAACCAUUACAUUUCUCCCAUAUUGCUCUGUAUUUUAUUGUUAGUUAAAUUUUGGCAGUCUUAGCACUUGGUUAACUCAGUAUUACGUGAGCUUCAUCGCAAGUUUCAAUUCUUAAUUUGGCUCUCAGUUGUAAUUAAAAUUUCUUCGAUAAUGUAUAAUUUUAUUGAGAUAUGGUUGAAUUUGCUCUAAUGUGGAAUUGAUAAACAUUUUUUAAAUUACCAACAACAUGAAAAAUAAAAAUAUAUAAAUACUUUUUAAAUCAAAUAUGUUGUGUAUUAUCUAGAUUUACAAUUUUACUGUUUUUUUUUUCUAUUAGUCUUAGAAAUAUAUAGUAUUGAAAUAAAUGUAAUUAACAAAUAAUUUUAAAAUAUCAUCGAUUUAAAUGUAGUUAACAAAUAAUAUUUUAGUAUUCCAUAAAUAAUAGCGAUAUUCUCACCACAAUAAGAACCAAACUGAGUAUAAAAGAGUUCCUUUUCUGCUCAGUAUAAAUUCUCACUAUAGUGAGAAUAUCACAAGACACACGCAUUCUCUCUCAGGCCACAAAAUUUCACCACGCUCCGUUCUCACUGUUGGUUCUCCAUUGACUGCGUCUCGUUCCCUCGCUGCGCCUCAGUCUCUCGGCUCUCUCAGAAAUUGACUUGCGGCUUUUCUUUCCCCUCCCCCCUAAAUCCACAGCAGCAAUGGGUCUGUCCACAGCUGCAGUUGUGUCGUCGUCAACAACUGCUGUAAUCGAUUUCUGGAUAUAAUUUGCUUUAUUAAUUGCAAAUUUAGUUGUCUACGGUUAUGAAUUUGUGGAGACUCAGCUGUUGUUCUGUUAAUUUGUGUUGAGAAUAGGGUGCUUUAAUUUUGUUAUUCUUGGUGCUGAGCUUACUGGUCAAGUCAAUUACUUUGAUUUUUUUAUUGUUGAUGCUGAACACUUAGCUUAGUCAAAAUUACCGUAGAUUUAGCUUAGUUUUUUUUUUUUCGGGUAAUUCUUGAUGCUGAGCUUACUGGGCAAGUCAGUUACUUUGAUUUUUUGAUUCUUGAUGUUGAACACUUAGCUUACUAAAAAUUAGAAUACACUUAACUUAGGUUUUUUCUUUUUUCUUUUUAUUCUCGAUGCUGAGCUUCAGAUUACUGGAAAUUAAAUUUGAAUAGAUUGGUUUGUAUAUGCAUUUUUCAUUAUCGAUGUUGAGCUUCAGAUUGCUAAAAUUUAAAUUCGGAUAUAUUGUUUUCUUAUUUGGGUCCUUUUGUUCAUUAUAAUCUUUGAAAUUAAAAGCAGCCUUGAUCUAUUAAUUUAUUGCAAGCCCGUAUGGCUGCUACUUGAAACUCAUUGCAAUUGCCUUCUACAAUGAUGCCAGUUGGUUAUUUUUUUUUUUUUUGGGUCAUUUUGUUGUUUCUGUUUUAUUAAUAUGAAUUAUAUUCAUUUUGUUCAUCUUAUCUACUUUAUUUUUUCUGAUUAUAGCAAAAUGUUUAUUUUUUUAACGGCAACCACAACUCCAGCGGCAUGAACAUUUUCAGCAGCUGCUCCUUCAGCAAGAUAAUGAAUAUGGAGUUAAUAGGAAGUUUCAAAGUGAUUUCGCAAAAUAGCAUUUUAUUUGUAUUUUAAGAAUGAAGAAUGCAGAUGUUUGUUUUAUUUUCAUUCAUAUUCUGAUUACAAGCCUUUGGCUAUCAGUUGUAAGCUUGUGGAAUAUUGAAGGGGUAUCAAUUAUUUGGUCUUGAUUGUGCAUGAAUGGAUGUUUUAUACUUUUAUUUAAUUUCUCAGUUUAUAAAUUCUCUUCCUUAACCCUGUUUCACCCGGAUCAUGUGUGAAACUUUGUUAUUUAGAGCUAGGUAUUUAAGUAUGUCAUACUUGAAUUUUAAUGUUGGUUUUGUGAAGUAAUUGUCUCCUAAAUGAAUGCUUCUGGAUACAUGUGUUAAUAUCAAUUACCGUGCAUUCUUUUUGCAUUGCUCUCGAACUAUUAGUCUUUACCCCUUAGGUUCACCGUAUUCUUUCGAAUCAACGUGAAUUUAAACUGUUCUUUUAUUCUGGUACUCUCAAAAAUCAAUGGAAUAUUCGAACAUUAAACUUCGGCUGCAUCACCAAGCCUCUUCAGGAAACUGCUUAACACUUUCAAUGGUAGAUGCUCCGUAGCCAUAUGAGUCUUACUUUGUGUUCUUAGUUAGAAAGGAAUCAAAUGUUUUGAUAUUUUGCUUAGAACCACAGUGUUCUUUGCUGAGAACAAGUACAAAAUUUGAGAGAUAUUAAGUUGGAUUUUUCUUUUCUUAUUAAAAAUAAAUGAAUUUGUACUACGCCACUUUUUAUACCAUCUGUAGUUGUGAAGAUUAUGCUAUAACUAAUCUUCCAAUUGGCCUAACUAAUAGCAUAAAUUAAGCACUUUAUUAACUGUUUGGUUAUUAACUCUGUUAAUUUACCUUCUCCCAAACAACCUCCCUUUUUGUUUGUGAGAAUUAUGGAAAAUUCUGUUCUACCCAUAAGUAUGUAGGUUGAAGCUUCUUUACAUUCAAUGAUGGCUGCUCGAUAGCUAUAUUAACAGAUACAUUUAUUGUAAGAUAAGGUAGUGUAACUAAUUAUGUAACACCCUAAUUUCACCAACAAGGUACUAAAGUAAAAUUGAAGUGAAAUUACAUUUCACCUUUCUCAUUUAUAAGACAAUCAAAAUAAUAUCCAACAAUAAAUGUUCUAGCCUCUAAAAGAAAAUAAGUAAUGAAAUAACACAUCCUCAAAUAAAUAUAAUUCUAAAGGCAGCUAAAAUAUUCAUAAAUUAUUAACGUAACAUUAAUCCCUAAAAGAAACUGAGUUCUUAUUCUUCCUCCUAAGACCUAAAACCUUAAGUCAAAAAGCAAUGUCCUCCCCAAAGCUUGUUUCCAAAGACCCUUCGAACUAAUAAUCAUUACUGUCUAUGAAUGAAUGAUUGACAAGGGGUGAGCUGUUAUAUUCAAUAGGUAGAAACAUGCAUAAUAAAUAGAAUAGUCACUUUACUCAAUAUUUUUAGAAAUUCAAUUUAGCUUUAAAUACUGAACUGAUAUAUGAAUAUUUGAAUAGAAGCUUUGGUUAAUACUAGUUUUGCUUAAAACAAAUUUAGAUAAAACAGUUCGAACUGAAUUCAAAUCCAAAAACAUUUAUCAUGUCAAAAUAUAUUGGAAAACAUAUAUCAUAUUAUGAUAUUUCAUAUGGGAGACUCUUGUCAAAUAGCGUCACCUACACUUAUCGUCACCCGUAGGGUGCGCAAAAAAACUCGGGCCAGUCCAGCCUAAGCCUAGGACUUUAGGCCCAGUCCGCAUCAUGAGACCAUGACAAUUGGCCAAAAAUCUUAAAAGCUGUUGUGAAUGAGCCUAGUUAAUGGCUUAUGAAAAAAGCCUAAGCCUUUAUAAUUUAUAAAUCAAGAAAAUUUAAUUAAUAAUUAAUCAUUUAUAAGUAUUAUUUGUGGUAUUGAAUAAUCAUCUUUAAUUUAAAUAUUUUUUUCGUUUAAUUUUAUUAAAAAUUUAUUUAAAAACUUAAAAGAAUCCCAAGCCCGGCUAGAGGACCUGGACCUGUUUACCAAUAACAUGGGCAUAGGCCUAGGCUUAAAAAGUCUGAUCCAAGCCCGCAAUUUACUGACCCCAGCAUAGUUUAGAACAUAUAAUUUACGAAAUAAAACAAAAUUUCACUAGUGAAAGCCACUUGUUUCUCACGAUACCCAGCCAAAACAGAACAUAUCAUAUUAGAAAAGACUAUUGACAUUUAGCAAAACGUUUGAAAUACAUUAAUUAAAUACAAACUUGAAUCACAUAUAGCAAUCCGCAUGUGACACCGCAGCACAUUGGGCCUCGAGGUGGCUCCCCUACAACUUACACUCUUUAAUUACAAACUUCUAAUCCAAACUUAUCUAAACUUGAGCAAAGAUCAAUUUAAAUAUUUAUUCAGUUACGCAAACAGAUUUACAAAACAUAUAUAAUUGCAGAAAAAUAAUUUAGAAAACAUUUGGAAAACAAAAGAGUUCAUCGUGGAUGAGUCUAUUUACCUAGAUCCAAAGUAAAUCUUAACCUUUCACUUACUAAAUCCCAGACAUCACCAACACAUCCUAAGAUUGAAACAUAUGCUGAUUUAUCAUUAAAUCCAUAUAAGAAUAAAUCAGAGCCUUAACUUAAAUCCUUACAAAAAAAUGAAUUACUAAAAUUCUGCACAAUAGUCAGCAUCCAAAAUAUAAUUCACAUGCUUAAGGACCUUUAAAAAUUCUAAUAUUUUCCAGAAUAUUAUCUUCACAUGUGAAAUAAGUGAUCCACAAAUUUCAUAAUUUAUUUCUUAAUAGGUUAAAAGAUCUAUUUCUAGGAAAAUGGUGAACUCAAUCUCCAAUUAGUUCCUAGAGUACUAGAAUCUGAACCAAAUUUCACAAAAUGUUUCAAAGCCAAAAUGAACUUUAUAAUUUAGAAAAUUUAUACCAUUCUAAGCUGCAGAUGUCUAGAAUGACUCCCAAAGUUUUAGAAUUUUAUUCCUUGUAUAUUCAGAGUUAUGAAUUUUUUAACACUCAAAGGUCAUUUAUGUUAGAAUCUUCCUUCAGUAAAUAAUGUGGAUUUUCUCAACAAUUUAGUAAUCCAAAAGGCCACCAAAAAAUUAUGAAAUUUUAUAAAGAGUCUUGUCCACAUGCGUAUUUAACUAUCCAAAAUUUAGAAAUUUAUGCUUCAUUUAUCCAAAGUUAUAAAAGUACUAUUGCCUAAGCAGCAAGAAUGACAGCAUUCAAAAAUAGAUUUUUUGCCAAACUUCCUUCAAAUUCUAAGUCCCUUUUUCAAUGCUAAAGUUCACGAGAAUUAAAAUAAGAGAAAUUAUCAUUCAUAUACCAUAUAGAUGCUCUGUUAUAAAAAAUACUAUAACACUUUGAGGGUGUAUCAAUCGUCCACCCUAAGUUGACAAAAUAUAUAUGCCGUCCACCAAACUGUUACUUGCCGUUUAAAUAGGAUAACGGCGGAGGUGUAAUUUGGUCUUUUCAUAUGAUACAAGUGAUAAUUUAAGGGUAUACAAGUGAUAAUAAAAGAAUUUAAGGGUAUACAAGUGAUAAUUUUCAAGGGUAAAAUCGUCAAUUCACUAUUAUUCCGUUAAUUUUCAAAGGGCAGCUAACGGUUUGGUGGUCGGCAGAUAGCUUUUGUCAAUUUAGGGUGGACGAUUGAUACACCCUCAAAGUGUUGUAGUAUUUUUUAUAAUAGAGCAUCUAUAGGGUAUACGAAUGAUAAUAUCCCUUAAAAUAAUCGCAAUUUAACAUGUGAUUUACAAAUUUUAAAAAGUUCAAACCCAAAAUGCAUUAAUUAUAUAAGAAAAUAAAAAUCAGCUAAUAGACUAGAAUAGAAAUCUAAAAAAUAAUCAAAUCAUUUUUAAAUAAUUUAAAUUUCCUUUCUGAUUUUGUAACAAGAUAUUUCUUAGAUAUUUGUACAUCAAUAAAGAUAAAAAAAAAAAUUUAUAUUUCAGACUUAAAACUGAAACUAUUAAAAGAAUUUACUUACCGAAAUCAAAAAAAGUAGAAAAUGCUUAAGCUUCUUAAGGGAAUUUGAAGUAUGAAAGUGAAUGGAAACCGAAGUGGCAGAAACCCAUGAGUACAACUCAGUGAUAAUGGAAACCGAAUCUCAAGAGGUAGCUAACUUAUGCCUCAACAGGAAAGGCAGUAGAAAAUAAAUUUUUUGGAUCAUUUUUUAGAUUCAACAGAUUAUGAGUAGAUUGACAAAUGUUAAGUUUCAGCAUACAAAGAGAGCUUGUAAUUCUUUAGCUCAUUCUAUAACAAAAUUAGCUCUUAACAGAUCAGAGAUUGAUGUUUGGCUGGGACAGUUUCCAGCUGAUCUUUUGUAUCUAUUUUCUGAUUCUAAUAAAUGAAAGGCGUACUUUCUCUUAAAAAAAAAUUGCAAAUUGAAGCAUCGUCUCUAAUAGUGACGCCAAACAUUAACGUGGCCCUUUUAUGUGUUCAACAGAUGCAACAAAUAGACCAACUACAUCAAAAAUUGUCUCAAUGCUUAAAAGUGAAAUUGGUACCAUCGCUACAGUAGCCUGCUUUUUCAUAUGUGCGAAUUGUGGAAAGGUCAAUUCUGUCGGCAAAUAGUGAGGCUGAAGCUCGUCCAGUAAAUUGCUUAACACUUUCUGUUGUGAAUGCUCGAUAGUCGUAUGAGCCACGCUCUAUGUUCUUAGUUAGAAAGAAAUCAAACAUUUUGGUGUUUGAUAUUUUGCUUAUGUUAAUGCUAAUUGGCGAAUCACAAUUAACUUGAACCAGUUAGUCGACUUGGAUUGAUGAAGAACAGCCAAUAAUAAAAAACCAGAAACUAAUAACGGUAGCAAGAUUAACUAGGGACCAAGAAGAAAGCAAGAAGAACACAAAAGGAUUUACGUGGUUCGGUACCAAAGCACCUACAUCCACGGCUGAAAACAGCAGGAGGCUAAAGCUUUUAUUAAUGGAGACGAUUACAAACAGAAUCAGUGGAGUGCAGAGAUUAAAUCUCUAGUUUACAGAACUUUCUAUCUCUCUCUAUCGUUCACAAAAUCACACACUCUUUCUGUCACAAGCCAGCCCUUAAAAUGCAUGCCCCAGUUUCUGGAAUCAGUCACUAGUUAUAACGGCUUUUAACUAACAGCGGGCCCACAUUCUCCAGCUCAACUCGCCACAUCAGCAGAUUAAUAACAGAAUCAAACUAACAGCUUCACAACUUAGAAUCACAGUGUUUCUUUGCUAUGAACAAGUACCAAAAUGAGAGACAUUGAGCUGGUUUUUUUUUUUUUCUUAUAAAAACAAAUGAAUUUGUAGUACAUCACUAUUAUACCAUCUGUAAAUGUGAAGAUUAAGUUAUAACUAAUCUUCCAAGUCGCCUAACUAAUAGCAUGAACUAAGCACUUUAUCAACAACUUGGUUACCAACUCUAUAAAUAACUCUGCUGUCACAAAUACUUUUUGACAUUGAUUCUGAUAUGAAAGAUCUAUUGAGCUUAUUACAGUGAGCUUCGUUUCCUCACAAGAUCAAAAUGUAAAGAUGCACAAUGACUGAGCUUGACUUUGAAGUAGCUGAGGUUAGUGAAAGUUAAUGCUUGAUCCAGACAUCACGACUAAUAUUUCGGCUUGGAAUGUAGCAAAUUUGAAUCUGUCAGGGCGGUAUAUGACCACUAUCAAAGUUGAUUUAUUAUAGCAAAAAGACUGCGGCACCGCAAAACAAAUUACCUCAAUCAAGUUUAAAAUAAUGCUAAAGAACGGCAAGUUUAGGUAAGAAACUUGACAAAACAAAUUUAAGAUUUUGGGGACCACAGACCAAUAAUUAGUCUUUGGGAUUACAAUGCAAAAAGUCCUCAUAUAAUAAAAAUAUCUUCAAUUUUUCUGAAUAAGUGGAUGCUAUUUUCCCAAUUCCAGCUACUUUUAUGUUUUGAAAAAAUCUGGAAGACUUUAAAAUUCCACACCAUGAGGUCAUGAAAUAGACUUGUUUCACAUUUUGCAAGACUUUUGUUUUCACUAAUCGUAUGAAUCUCAAAAGAUGUAGACAUAUUUUUCUCUUUUCAGUUAUAUCAAUGGAGAUUCUUCCAUGCUUCAACAUCUUUAGUUCUUUGAUUUUCUACUGGGUCAUUAAGUUUUCGUUAGCAGCUGAUACACUAACUCCAACAACACUCAUCCGUGAUGGUGAAACGUUAGUUUCACCGUCUCAAAGGUUUGAGCUAGGCUUCUUCUCUCCUGGAAAAUCACAGAACAGGUACGUGGGAAUAUGGUACCAGCAGAUCCCUGAUACAGUUGUGUGGGUUGCAAAUAGAAAUAGUCCUAUCGUUGACAAAAACGGAGUAUUAACCGUUAGCAACAGGGGAAAUCUUGUUCUUCUCAACCAAUCAAAUGGAACUAUCUGGUCUUCAAACGUGUCUAGAGAAGUAAAAAAUCCAGUUGCACAACUCUUAGAUAAUGGAAACCUUGUUAUUAGGGAUAACUCCGGCAGUAAUAGUACUGAAAGCUAUUUGUGGCAGAGCUUCGACUACCCAACAGACACUAUGUUACAAGGCAUGAAGUUGGGCUGGGACUUAAGGACUGGUCUGGAACGUUAUCAAACAUCAUGGAAAAGUGCUGAUGAUCCAUCCCCAGGAAACUUUACUCACAGACUUGACAUUCAUGUGUUACCUCAAGUAUGUGUUUACAACGGGUCCGCAAAAUAUACUUGUACAGGACCUUGGAAUGGAGUUGCUUUUGGGUCAGCUCCUUCAAAUACAACCUUUAUUUUUCAACCAAUUGUUGUACAGAACAAGGAUGAAGUCUAUUACAUGUAUGAAUCGUAUAGCAGUCCAAUCAUUAUGAUAUUAAGAGUCAACCCAUUAGGUCAGGUUCAGCGUCUAAUAUGGCAUGAGAUGAGCACUGGGUGGCAAGUUUUUUUCACAGCACCGGAUCCUUUUUGCCAUUAUGGGGAUUGUGGUCCUAAUAGUAUUUGCAGCGUCGACCAGACAUCUCAUUGUGAGUGUUUAGAGGGAUUCAAGUUCAAAUCACAGCAAAACCAGACAUGUGUGAGAAGUCAUUCAUCAGAUUGCAAGAGUGGAGAUAGGUUCAAGAAGCUUGAUGAUAUUAAACUACCCGACUUGCUUGAUGUUUCGUUGAAUGAGAGUAUGAACCUCAAAGAAUGUGAAGCUGAGUGCUUGAAGAACUGUUCUUGUAGAGCCUAUGCUAAUUCCAAAGUGACAGAUGGAGGCAGUGGGUGCUUGAUGUGGUUCGGAGACUUGAUUGAUCUCAAAAAGACAGAUAAUCAUACCAACGGAGUGUCUAUCUACAUAAGAGUACCAGCUUCAGAACAAGGUACAAUUAUAGCAUUAUUGAAGUUGGUGUUGCAAAACUUUUCACUAGUUUGUUAAUAUUUUUAGCAGGUCUUGAUCCUAAAAGUAGUUGCGAGCCUUCCUGUUGAAUCAAAAUGCAUAUAAGCCUCUAUGUUUCAAGAAUUGAAUGUUAAAAACAAGAUGAACAAAACUAAAAAAACAAAGAAAAUAACACAAUAUGGGUGAUUUAAGCUAUUAGGCUGUGCCACCUAGGAAUUUAUUUACUUUCUCUUGAAUUUCUUUGGUAACAUAUAUGUUUCUGAUUGUAGGAAACAAGAAGUUACUCUGGAUAAUUGUAAUACUCGUUCUUCCCCUAGUAAUUCUUCCUUGCGUUUACAUAGCUCGUCAAUGGAGUAGAAAACGCAAAGAGAAUGGUAACCUUUUUUUUUUUCUGUUUUCCCCUCCAAAUCACUCACUUAUGCUUGUAUAAUGAGGCAUGUGAUAGAAUAUGUAUUCUGAUAAUUUUGAAAGUUGUCGUCCUACAGAAACAAAGAAUUUGGAUACAAACCAGGAUCUGUUAGCAUUUGACGUAAAUAUGGGCAUUACAACAAGAACAAAUGAAUUCUGCGAAGCAGAUGGAGAUGGAAAAGAUAAGAGCAAGGAUUCUUCGUUGCCAUUAUUCAG
rnacentral:lncRNA from 1 species